CUCCAUCACCACCACUGGUCUUCAUUCAGCCUAUUAACUUAUAUCUAUCUACUCCAGAGCAGACAAGAACUCGACACCAUGAAGGUGUUGCUCGUUGCCCUCGCUCUCCUGGCUCUCGCGGCGAGCGCCGCCUCCACGCUUACAACCGGCGGCUGCGGCUGCCAGACACCUCAUCUACCACCACCGCCGGUUCAUCUGCCGCCGCCGGUGCAUCUGCCACCGCCGGUGCACCUGCCGCCGCCGGUUCACGUGCCACCGCCGCCACCACAAUGCCACCCACACCCUACUCUACCGCCCCACCCACAUCCAUGCGCUACAUACCCACCGCAUCCAAGCCCGUGCCACCCAGGGCAUCCCGGAUCCUGCGGUGUUGGCGGCGGCCCCGUCACCCCGCCGAUCCUGGGCCAGUGCAUCGAGUUCCUGAGGCAUCAGUGCAGCCCGGCGGCGACGCCCUACUGCUCGCCACAGUGCCAGGCGUUGCGGCAGCAGUGCUGUCAGCAGCUCAGGCAGGUGGAGCCGCUGCACCGGUACCAGGCGAUCUUCGGCGUGGUCCUGCAGUCCAUCCAGCAGCAGCAGCCGCAAGGCCAGUCGUCACCGCUCCCGGCGCUGAUGGCGGCGCAAAUAGCACAGCAACUGACGGCGAUGUGCGGUCUAGGAGUGGGGCAGCCAAGUCCCUGCGCUUCUUGCAGCCCUUUUGCCGGUGGUGUCCACUAUUAAAGAAACUAUCUAUACUGUAAUAAUGUUGUAUAGCCGCCGGAUAGCUAGCUAGUUUAGUCAUUCAGCGGCGAUGGGUAAUAAUAAAGUGUCAUCCAUCCAUCACCAUGGGUGGCAACGUGAGCAAUGACCUGAUUGAACAAAUUGAAAUGAAAAGAAGAAAUAUGUUAUAUGUCAACGAGAUUUCCUCAUAAUGCCACUGACAACGUGUGUCCAAGAAAUGUAUCAGUGAUACGUAUAUUCACAAUUUUUUUAUGACUUAUACUCACAAUUUGUUUUUUUACUACUUAUACUCACAAUUUGUUGUGGGUACCAUAACAAUUUCGAUCGAAUAUAUAUCAGAAAGUUGACGAAAGUAAGCUCACUCAAAAAGUUAAAUGGGCUGCGGAAGCUGCGUCAGGCCCAAGUUUUGGCUAUUCUAUCCGGUAUCCACGAUUUUGAUGGCUGAGGGACAUAUGUUCGCUUAAGCUUAGCUGUCACUCACACAACAAAUCAGCCAACGGUACUUUCUGCCAAGACUUAUCAGCCAAACGAACAAAACAGUCUGCUGAUGCUCUCAAAAAAAACAUACUUGCUGGCGAAAGGGUCCCACUAGAUUCAAUAAGGACCUAAAUAGGAUUUCUAUCAUGUCUUCGGAGACAUCUGGUAAAUAGAAUCUCUACCGUCUCUUCGACACCCAAUAAGUAACCAUCUCUUUGAAGACAUCUAACUACUAUUUGUGGCUAGAUAAAAAUAGAACUCUAAUAACUCGAGUCUCUAUUUUAUGGAGGCUCUUAAUUAAGUUUAUUGUCUCGCGCUGCCACCCCGGUUCCUCCCAACAUGUAUUCAAAAGACUUUGGGAUGAUAUUGUGAAGCACUUGUGGGUGUUUUCAUGGCAUUAGUUAGUAUGAUUUAUUGUGGUUUUAUUGUAAUUUGUUGUCAUUUCGUGUGAUAAUAAUUUUUGUAUGCCUCCGAAGACAUAUUUGAACAUAUUUGAAUUUAAAUUUAAAUUCUCUUAUUUGAAAUCAUGAACUUGAAUAUAAUUUUAUUUGUACGGGUUUUUGAGGCAUACUAGUGUGCUACAAAGAUAUACAUGAAGAUUAUAUAUUAAAAAAUAUAAGACAAAUGAAAUAGACGAUUAGAUGUAAUGUAAGGACUCUUAAUUUUGGAUGAAAAGACCCUUAUUGAAGUUGGGUGCAAAUAAAUAGAGUUCUAAAAAAAGGAGCCCCUACUCUAAAAAGGUGCUCUACUUUAUAGGUCACAGUUAGAUACGCUACUCACGUUAUUAGGCCUUGUUUAAUUCACCCAGAAAAAUCUUGGUGCACAUGCAUAGAGUAUUAAAUAUAAUCAAAAACAAAACUAACUACAAAGCUUACCUGUAAAUUACGAGAUAAAUUUUUUAAACCUAUCAUAAUUAAAUAAUAAUUACUAAAUAAAAACAAAAUGCUACAUUAAGCAAAACCCAAAAAAAUAGAAACUAAACAAGGCCUUAUCCAAUGUUCGGAUGGGUCCAUUCAAAUUUAGUCCGAUUUUAAGGUCCAUGAGUUCAAUUUAUUCAAUGUUCCGAUGGCUCCAUUCCAAUUUGGUCCAGUUUUAAGGUCCAUGACUCAUACUAGGAAGACAGAACCAUCAGUGCGCCAGACCCAACACCUGUUGCGAGUGUUUCAGGUAACCAGAGAAGGGAAACUAAAAACACAGCAGAGAUUAAUAUAAACAUGACGCAUACACCCCGCAUCUAACCAACUACUGUAGGAACUUGUCUCUGUUAUCAGUUGUUACAUGCUAUAUAACCUCAUAACCACUAAAUUAACGAGAUGAUACAUUCGAACACUACAUACCCUGAAGGCCUUGCCCAUCUUUCCAUCAGCCUAUUCUCUACUCUAAUGACUCUUCCUCCCACAAACAUGGGACCAAAGGAAAAGAAAAAAAACAAGAAAAUUAAACAUUUCGUGGUACAGAUGCUGUAUUAGAAAAACCGUUAGCUGCUUUUGGUGGUGGUGGCUUCUUCUUGUAGUUUGCUAAGCUACAAUGGGGGCAGAUGUAUUCCAAACCAUCUGUCUUAGCGUAAUCCUGUAAGUAAAGCACCUCAUGAGAUCAAGCCAUUGAUUUCAGGCAAGGGUGAGAUCAACAAACCAUCAUAUUAUUGUUUACCUUGAAAGUGCCUAGUCCUUGUCGUCUGUCGCAACCAAAGUGAGCCCAUUCACCACAUAAACCACAGUUCACCCAAUCUCCAGGUGCGCUACUGGAAUUACAUGAAAGGUACUGUUAGAUUUUAACAUGAUAUUAAUAUUGAAGCAGAAAGAUUUGAAGGAAGAUGCCCUCAGAGACCUGUGACAAAGUAAGCAGCAUUCACCAUCCACAUCAUCAUGCGCUAACUCAUAUUCCAACAAGUAUGUUUCGUAGUGCCUUUUCAACGUGUUCCCUACACCCUAAAUAUAUACAGAGAAGUGCAUAGAAUUAAAACAUAGCAUUUCAUUAGGCAUUCCUGUUCUUCAGCACAAAGCUAAAAGGCAGGAUCAGAAAUCAAGUAUCAGAGAACUGAACAAUAAAUACAUACAGUCAUUCUGUUUGUUGCAGUAUGGUUACGCAUCUUUGAGAAGACUUGACCCUUCCAGUUUAUGCCAUUACCCACAUAAAAUCCACCUCUAGACACCACCUAAAAAAUAAAGAACAUAUUUAUCAGGGAACAGGCUGAUAAUACAUGUCAUUGGACCUCCAGUUCACAUAUGUAAACUAGUGCAAAGAAUUACCUCCUUGUACAAGUUAUAAAGAUCAAGGCGCUUGGCGUUAAGGAUUGCAUCAGGAAAUUCAGCUAGUCCUCCAUGAGGUACAAGUCGAUUGUGGCCCCUCUGGAUUAAAAACUGCAUGACAUCCUUCAAGAAGUCCUCCUACAAAAAAAAAUAUAAGGAACAGAUCACUUUCUACACUGAUUAUUAUGUAUGGAAAACAGAACGAUAUCAUCAUCAUGACUCAUGAAGGUUAAAAGACUUGUACCUCAGAGCAUACUUGGAUAGGCAACCUAUCACAUCCAUGUUUCUUCAUUGGCAGAGGAUUCAAUUGAAUGACUGAAGGAGUAUGUGAUGGCCCUGAUGUUGAUUUUCUGUGCGUGGUUGGGGCAGAAGAAACUGAAUUGUGCUUAACAGUUGGCGCAACUGGCAAGCUUGGCUUCACAAUACUAGUUUCAUGAAGGGAAGUUUCAGGUAAACCCAUAAAAGGAUGCAUUUGUUGUUUUCGAGAGUGGGGAAUGGGCCUCAUAGUUGCAGGCUUUAAUUUAGCCUUGACGGCUGACAAUGAGGAAGGACCUUCCAUCAUAUGCUUCUUGUCUUCCAAAACUCCAUUUGCACCCAACAGACUUUGUUUUGAUUCUGAACCCACCUUUGUUCUGUCCUUGGUAAGGGAGGCUGACCAUCUUGGCAGAUGAAAAUAUGGACCAUUUUCAUUAGCCAAAUCUUUGCACUGACUUGUGCAAAAGAAAAGAAGACGGUCUGCAUCUCGCCUCUCAAAGGAAGCAACAGGAGUACCAUUUAUACAACCAAUACCAAGUGCAACCAAGCUCCUGUAUUGUAUAUCUGGCGCUAGAUGCUUUAGGACCUAUAUAAAUGAACAAUACUGGUUCAAUAUGUAAGGCUAGAAUUGCAUAAGUGAAAAAAAAAACAUACAAGAUCGUAUCAAAACAGCAUAAAAUUCCAGUAGGUGCAUAUUAUAAGCAAACAAUGUCGAAAACAAACCUGUGCUGCCCACUUAGGAAGUGACAUCCAAACUUCAAAGGUAGAAGCCCCACAAGCCGUGGACAUGGAAGUUAGAGGCUCGCUUGAUGGUAACUUGUCCUCACUAUUUGAGAGAGCACGGACUAACUGGCUCUUCUCAAUAAUUUCAUUCUUGAUGUGGCUCUCUAGAAGCUGCACAGACAAGUGAGCACCAUGUGACUUUGCACGGCAGGACAAAAAAAAAACCUAUCCAAGGUCAAAGGAAUAUAUACCUGGUCAUCAAAACAAGUUUGUGCGCUACCAGAAACAAGGAGUGACACAUGGGAAAUACUGCAUGUAGUGAUAUCACAGCGCAUAGUAACCAUCCCACGUGGUAGAGAUGCAGCUUCGAGAGGUGGUGGAGAAGCACUGUCAGACAGGAGGAACAACAAAUCAGUUUUCUGCUUACAAAGACAAUAAUAAUCUAUGGCAAAGCCACAUUGGCAGUAAACAACAAUCUCUGUACAUAUGAAGGCUCCCUUAAUAAAUAAAUGAAGGCUCACUUGUUCAUUUUCUUUCCCUAAAUUAUCUCUUACAAACAUCGAUAACAUUUUGUUUUCAUGAAUUGAGAAGAAUGACACACUACAGAACUAAGCAUGGUCAACCAACAUAAUCAUGCAUGACAGCAUAUCAAAAGAAUUUGUUGUUAAUUCAUGGACUCAUCACAUGGUAUAAAAGGUAAAAUCAUACAAGGAUGUACAACUAAAGAAAUUAGAAAGCAAUCCAAUAUACCUGAUUCGAUUCUGCAGUUUGCUCCCACGGAUCUGUCAAAAAAAAACAUGAGCUCUUUUAUACAGGAAAAUCGUAAGUCACAAGUUUUGUAAUAACUUAAAUAAUCAAGCACUAAAUAUUUGCACCGUUGCUUUAUGUGUCAGAAUCCUUUAAACAAUACAAAGUGAUAGCCAGCUCACAGGUUUAAUCACACCCCAUGGUAGAGAGCAGUGUUUGAGUGUACAUGGGGUGGGGGGGCUGGACCAUUCAUUUCUGUCAGUUCGAUCAACCUAAGACUGAGACUAGCGGGAACUAAAGUUCCAGUUGUUCGGUACACAACUUCCUACCCAAUAUCAAUACUUUUUUGUGAUGCAGAUAAAGUACUACUAGUGUCUACACUAUAGCAGCAUGAUUUUUCACUUUCAUGUACCAUACGAGCAUGAAGACUUCAAUUAAAACAAAUCAUAACGAGUGCAGGCAACGGCCUGGAUGUCGAGGGCAACAGCCCCCGUGGGCGCCAUAAAAUCAUCGCCCCAUGAUAAUAAGGUAUCUAGAAAAGUGAUCUGAUUAAUAGAAAUAGACCAAGUAAUGAAACAAUGGAUACUGCAAAUGAUGUCCUAUAAUUUUAAUUAAGGAUAUCUCCAUCGCUGCUUACCUAUAUGUAAGUGUGCCUUGGUGUUGCGCAUCUAAUUCUAGUUUGUUUCUAUGAUCCUUACAGAAAACAUCCAUGAAUUAAGAGCAUAAAUGUAACAUUGCCAUGUCUGAAUUACUAUUACAUACACUAGGAAACAAAAUGUUUUUUUAUCAUUUCUAGUGAGACAAUAACUUUCAAAACCAUGAGUUUAUUAUAUAAUAAGUAGUUCACACAAAAAUGUAUUGCAUAGCUAGAAUCUUUCGUUCAUACUUCAAUAUUCAGAAGUGCAUUCAGACCGUCUUCUAAAGAGCCCAAUAAACAAGGAUCCUGUGGGAGUACAUAAGGGAAGCAUUAGUUUGCAUCGGAAUAAUAUAACUACUAAUCUUUAGACAUAAAUAUUAAAGCUUUUAUUUACCAAGUUGCAUGGCACUCCACAUAGAAGUAGUUUCAUGUUGAUUACUUCAUCGUAUAUUUUUAUAGCCGGGGUCACUUCAGAAGAACCUUCUUCAUCAACCAUUUCAGUCUCAGGUGGGCUUAUAUUUAUUUUUGGAGCAUCCCCAAGGAGACGAGGGCCAAGCUUAACACUUUGCACAUGAUUGUUUCUUACACAAUAUAGACGGAAGGAUGCAUGAGCAAGCUGAAAAGCAUCCCAAGUAUGGCUCACCGAACUGAAUCCAACCAGAAGCACAUUUAUUAUAAAUAACACUUCCAUUUAGAUUGAACUGAAAGAGGGAGGGUGAAUGAGUACCUUUGAACUACUGACAUCAACGCAUGGCGAAAAUGAGAUGCGGCAUAAGACGAAAAUGAAUUUCUCCAGUAUAUUACAUAUGGGAUCCCCUGAAAUAAAUAAGUAUUAGCAUUACCGAAAUUUCCAAAUCCAGAAUAAUAAAACUGGUUGCCUAACACUUUAAGAAAUAUAAAUUAAGAACAUAUAACAAUUUGUUUUGAUAUAGAGGAAACAAGGUUGAAUACAUUUGUAGAAAUACGAUAACACUUGAGGCCCUGUUUGCAUCUUAUUUUCAUAGUGAUUCUAGAUAGUGAUGUAGAAUCUGGAUUCUAAAUUAAAAAAAAUGAGGGGUGUUUGGAUUCCGGAUUAUUGUUUUUUCAUAGUGAGAAUCUCCAAAUAGCAGGGUUUGGGUAGAUAGAUGGACUCUAGGAAUCUCAUUCUAGAAUCCGAGUGUUUGGAUCUAAUUCUCAAUUUUUUAGGAGAUCCAACAGGGCCUAACAGCAGCAUGACAUUGUUGCCGAACUAAGAAAAGCAGACCAAAAUGAACAAUCCAAAGAAAAUAUGGCUACUUUGCUAUGCAGCCAUCUCCAAGAAAACAUAAUCCAUGAGUAGUGGACAAAUAGUAAUACUCUAGCUGUUGACGGAUAGUAAUACUCAAGUUGUUUGAAGAGAUGCGAUUACUGUACAGGGAAACUAUCUACCUUUGAGUGAACUGCUUGGGCAAGUUUUUCACCAAUAGGAACUUCCAGAUAUACCUGUAUGCAGAGUAUGGUUAUCAGCAACUGUAGAAAUGUUAAAAAGUUGAACUCAUGUGGCAGUACAGCCAAGAUGUUGGAACAUCCAAAAAGUUACACAAAACAAAUGUUAAAUAUGCAUUCCUGUGAAGCAAAUGAAGCAAAACUCUUUUGUAGGAACAUUGCUUUCCAUAUAUAUUUCCAUGAUCUAAAUGAAACAUUUUAUGUAUAGGAUAGGAUACUUGAGCCAGUCAGGUACUUUUUUGUAUUGAACUAUUCAAACUGGCUUCAGCUGUAGUACUUGGCCUAUUCAAAUGUGUGUGGCAUAAGACGAGACAAUCCUUAUUCAAGUAGUAUAGCAAUUGUUGUAUAAUGCAACAACGAAACAAACACUGACACAGUGACUUCAGUUUCAUACAAUAGAAUUUACCAAAACAUCAUAGGUUGUCGUAGAAGCUAUCCCAAUGUUCAUAUCAUGAUGCAGCUAGAAUAGAUGCUGCUAUCACAACAUCCUAGUAUUUGCACACACUAGAGUAGAGCUUACUAUUGUUGGGAAUGGUGGGCUGAUAAGAGUGCUAAACGCCUGCGGAUCAGAGACAUCGGCGUCCCCCCACACAAGUGAGCCAAUCUCCUUCUCAUCCUCGAGCUGUUGACCCUGAAUGUACAAGAAGUUUGGCUGCACCACCCGCUGUGCCUCUAGGAACUGCUCCGGUGUAGGAUUGAACAGGGUGUGGACCUGCAUUCAGAAGCCCCCUCAUUCAGCUGACAAACAAAGGAUGGGAACUGCAAUGAACGCAAUCAAGCGAGGACACCAGCAACUGACCUCCAAUCUCCCAGCCGAGCUGAGCUCCGGGAACGGGUACGACGGCCGCGGCCGUUUCGCCUCCAGCCCAGACCUCGCUGCUGGUGCGCGCUUCUCAGCAUACUUGCCACACAGCACCGCGAGAAGCACACAGUUGUUCCGCGAGAAGCUUUGGAUUUGAUGAGACAUGGCUAGCCGGCCGGAGCCUCCCCGUCGGCGGCCAAGCAGUAGAAAAGCCUCCCCUCCAAAUCAACACCGCUUCCUCAUGGACCCAAACCCUGCGACACGAAAACUGGAUCAGGAAUCCCCCCAAAAUCCGACCAAAAUCCGCAGCGAAACCCCACGAAUCUGAGAGGGCUGCCUUACCAGGACGCGAUUUCGCGGCGGAAUCGGCGGCUGCACGGCCUGAAUCGGCGGCCGGACGCGCGCGGCCGGGGAAGGGGGCGGAUUCGGUGCGGGGAGAAGUGGGGAAACGAAGGGUAAAGUGAGCCCUAGAAGACGAUUCGCGGAAAUAGCUACUACUGCAACAAGGCGAAAGCAAAUCCCAGUGCGGAGGCAAUAAAAAAGAGGAGCCGUGCUUGUGGUGGUGGCGAAUCGGGCCACGCCCCCAUCCCAAUCCAGACAAACACGCACAGCGCAAUCCACGGAGAGGGAGGGAGGGAGAGAGAGAGAGAGAGAGAGAGAGAGCCGAAGAAAAAUCUCCUCUCCAAGAACCAGAACAAACACAAGAACUGAAGCGGGGGAUUAACCGGCGACGACGAGCACGGGGAUCAGGCGAGCGGGGCUCAUUGCCCAGCGGCAACCAACCAACUGACAGCAAUCCCGCAUCACAGAGGCAGAAACUUUGGAACAGUCUCGGCUCGACCAGGGAGGCGUCAAGAUUGGAUUUUUGACGGGCGUGGGGAGGGCAGUCCGGAGAUUCUCGCGGACUUUUCCUCCUCGGAUUUUCGCCCUGCCUGCCCGCCUGCCUGCUCACACGCUCGCAAUCACACGCAUCGCCCAGCUUGAUGAGUGAGUCGUAGUAGUAGUAGAUUAGAUGAGUUGAUGUGUGCCUGCCUGCUGCUCUCUGCUGGUGAUGGUGCGUUGUUUUCCCUGCGCUUUUUCGUUUUCUCCUUUUCCUCCUCCGCUUCAUUACUGCUGCACACAAGCCAGGCCAGGGGGGGCGGCGACGGCCGGAGGAAAAACGCGGAUUAAAAAGAUUAGGAAUUUCGGGAGCAGGAGAUUGGUGAGGAGGAGGGGCGAAAUAAUCUCUUUUUUUUCUGGGAGAAUUGUUUUUUUGCCGGGAUCGGAAUAUCGGAUGCUACUGCUUGCUGCUUUUGAUUUGGUGUGCAUGUAGCAUGUGUGUCUGGUUGGUGCAGAUUGAUUCGGUGUGGCCUGUGGUGUGGCGUCUGGCGUAGGGUUGUGAAUUGUGAUCGAGGGAUCCGCGGCUUGGCGCUCCAGCGGUCGAGGCUGCAGCUCGGAUGCGUACAACGGGUAUUGCUCGUGGUCGCGGCGGCUUCGGCCAAAGCUGGGGCGCGUGUGUUCGUGGGAUCGCCCCCGUUUGAUCCGUUUGGGCGUGUUCCUAAUCGCAGCGGUGGAGGCGACGAGGCGCGGAGCGAGAGCGACCGCCCACGCCCGGUUGAGUCAGCGACGCCGCAGAGCUAACGCGCCGUCAGCGUCACGGGAUGGCCGUUUGUUUCUCUGGCUGGUGGGUCCUGAUUCUAGGGCCUUGUUUAGAUGCGAAAAAAUUUUAGAUUUCGCUACUGUAUCACUUUCGUUUGUUUAUAACAAAUAUUAUCCACUUAUAGAAUAACUAUGAUCAAAAGAUUCAUCUCGCGAUUUACAGGUAAACUAUACAAUUAGUUUUUAUUUUCGUCUAUAUUUAAUGCUUUAUGCAUGUGCCGAAAGAUUCGAUGUGACAGAAAAUUUUGAAAAUUUUUUGGUUUUCUAGAUUAAUAAACAAGGCCUAGGUAAAAGAAGCAUCGUCUGACAUCUACGUGACAGAGCCCAUCGGCCCAUGUGAGGGCCUUGUUUAGGCCUUGUGUUUAGGCCUUGUUUAGUCUUCGAGGGAAAAAAUUUCGUGACACUGUAGCACUUUCGUUUAUUUGUAGUAAUUAUUGUCUACCUAUAGGCUAAUUAGGCUCAAAAGAUUCGUCUCGUCAAUUUCGACUAAACUGUACAAUUAGUUUUUAUUUUCGUCUAUAUUUAAUAUCUAUGCAUGCGUCUAAAGAUUCGAUGUGAUGAGGAAUCUUAAAAAAAUUUGGGUUUUUGGUGGAAGUCCUAGGGCCUUGUUUAGUUCCUCUUAAAUUUUACAAAAUUUUGAUUCCCGCGCACAUCAAAUCUUGUGACUCAUACAUAAAGUAUUUAAUAUAGAUUAAAAAUAACUAAUUAUAUAAUUUGUAGGUAAUUUGCGAGACAAAUCUUUUAAACCUAGUUAGUCUAUAGUUACACAAUAUUUAUCAAAUACAAACCAAAGUGCUAGGUACUAACUUUAUAAAAAAAUUGCAACUAAACAAGACCUAGGUAAUCGUGGCCUUGUGGUCACUUUUAUUACGAGUUCAGUUUUAUAUUAUUUCUAUUCUCAAAAAAAUAAUAUAUAUAUAUAUAUAUAUAUGACUUGUAUGUUAUUUUAUUGCAUUAGAUCUGGUAAACAAUUGCUAAGCUAAUAGAAGAGAAAUAAUAGAAUAUUUGAAUAUUAUAGAGACAUAGGUGAUCAAACGAAUAGCAUAUGUAGAUGACUUGUAUGUUAAUUGAUUAAAUAUUUAAAGUGUUUCACGUGAUAUAGAUAACAUGGAUAUUUUUUUUAAUUAAUAUAGGAUGACAUAGACUUAGCGGAGAAUGAUGUGAACACCUUGCAUGAAGAGAUAGAACAUUUAGUGGAUCACUUAGUGGGGUUUAGCUUUAUAAGAGUAUAUGACGUGACAAUGCUACUGGCAUGUUUAACUCUUUUCAAAAUGAUAUUUUAACUUUUUUGACCAUGCUAAUACCAUUGGCGUGUUAGGAUUGCGAUGUUAUGAUACUACGUGUGGUGCAAUAGCCUUGCUAUUGGCAGCGGGCGCGAGUAUUGAUAGGGGUUGGGGGUUAGCCUACUGUGGCACUUGUCUAUCGUGGAAUGCAAUAAUUGUCUUGUGUGGGCUCUUUUUUUCUCUUCUUUCUCUAGCGCUCAACCAAUGCUUCACACGUUGACCGUCGUCAACCAGAAUUCAGUGUUAAUGUAACAAUUUGGGCAUAGAUUCAAAGCGAAAACGAUCUUCCGCGCUUGAUUAAGGUAUACCCCCCUUGUGUUUCUUAGUCACAUUUGGUAGUUUAGAUGAUGGGCAACCUAAAUAAGGUUAGGCAAUUAUUUGUAAAUGUGAAUGAGUCAAACCGGAUCCUGACUACCUAGACUCGAUGUUCGAUCUCCAAACCGGACGUCUGAUUCUGCACAUACUUUUUUGCUCUAGAUCUGGUUUCUUGGAUGUCCGCUAAUUAGCGUCUUAACACUCCAACAAUUAAAUCUGAGACAAGUGGUAUUUAUACUUUCUUCUUCUCUCCGAUCAUAACUCUUCACCUAGCUCGAGCAAAACUCUUGCGCACCAUUACUCACCCUCUUCCUCCCUCUACCUCUCUCUCACACACACAACCUUCACUUGAGCACUUGUUCUUGUGUGGAUUUUAGAGGAGACUUACUUGAGACUCCAGAUUUGAACUCGUGACAUUCACAUCGAGCAUUUGAGAUUCCUCUAAGGCUUGCUUUGAGUUUAUUACUCUUGGAUUCUUGAAUCCUAGUUGACAAGGAGUUGUCCGAGAACUUUCAACUUGUGGAUCCGUCCAGGAAAGACAAUAUUGCCCAUUGUUCUUGGUGGAUUUCUCAAGUGAACUUCGUGGUCACUUGGGAGAGCUAAGGAGGUGAAAUAGACUCCGAUCUUUGUGGUUAUCUCAACACGGGAGUUUGGAUAUUUCUUUGUGGUUUGGCCAAACCACGGAUUAAAUCGUGGACUUGUUUAGGCCUUGUUCAGUUGUCGAAAUGCAAUUAUGGACUAACUAGACUCAAAAGAUUCAUCUCGUGAUUUACAGGCAAACUGUGUAAUUAGUGCUUGUUUUUAACUAUAUUUAAUGCUCCAUGCAUGUGCCGCAAGAUUCGAUGUGAAGGAGAAUUUUGAAAAGCUUUUUGUUUUUUGGGUGAACUAAACAAGACCUUAGUUCCCAAAAAAAAUGAAAAAAAAUUCAGAUUUCCCAUCACAUCGAAUUUUGUGGCACAUGCAUGGAGCAUUAAAUAUAGAUAAAAAUAAUAACUAAUUGCACAAUUUGUCUAUAAUUUGCGAGACGAAUCUUUUGAGCCUAGUUAGUCUAUAAUUGAACAAUAUUUGUCGAAUACAAACGAAAAUACUACUGUAUCUAUUUUUUUUUUAAAAAAAAAAGAACUAAACAAGGCCCGUAUGCAAUGCUCUACUUGUUCUUAUCGAUUCGAGCUUGUGAAAUCCUUGCUAGUAUAUUUGGGUGCAGGAAUCAUUGAGGUCAACUCUUCCAUCUCUCUACAAGACUUGGUAACAUUUUGUUGCUCGUCUCGGUUGUAAUUCUUGUAGAUUUAGUAGGGGGUCCGCUUAGACCAGAGUACCAGACAUCUGAUUUCCUCAGAUAUCCGAUGUCAAAACCAGGCAUAUCUGGUUAAAAACCAAACAUCCGGUCCAUACUAAUUUCCGCUAUAAGUUAAAUCCGGUGUCAAAACCAAACAUCCUCUUGAAACCAAACAUCUGGUCCAUACUAAUUUUCCGUUGUAAGUUUCUUUGAAAAUUUUAGAUUAGGCCUAUGUCGAUCAUAGUUCUGACCAAACAUAAUUAUAGCUCUGAUUAUCGUGCUAACCAAUCCUCACAACUUAUGCUACUGCUCUAUGUCGAUCAAAAGCGACAUACUAUGAUUACAUAUCGACUUUAUGUUGUUGAUCUAGUCACCACGAUAAAAGAAAACACAGACAGCACAUAGUACAGAUCAGAGGUAAUAAGCGACAUACAUAGUAUUUGUGGAGAACAAGAGGUGUACAAUUGUAAUGCGUCAGAGAAUCACAAAGUUCAUCAAAGGGAUUACAUUAUGGUACUGUUGAGUUCAGAUAUACAUGAAUUCCCCACCCCUGACAGCAUUUGCCGCACCCCUUCUAUCUUCUUCCUCCUCCUUUUCACGCUCCUUCCUGCUCUCAUACACAUGGUCAUCCGUCCUCAGCUCAUGCCGACAGAUAGGACAGGAGUUGUUCUCAUCCUAAAUGAAACAAAAAAUCACAAUUGGUUAGAUACACUGAUUACAAGUUUACAACAAUGAUGCUCCUCUACUCCAAAUCUACCUACUUAAUUUUGCAGGGUUCACAAGAACUUACCAGCCAUGGCUUCAGACAAGGAGGAUGGAAGAGAUGCUUGCAAGGAAGCUCCUGCAUCUUGUCAUCCACAACCAAGUUUUCACGGCAGACAGCACACUCCGUCUCACUGCCCAAUCUAGCGAUGACUUCCUCGGUAACAGCAAUGACAGGUAGAUUGGCAACAACUUCCUUUGAAGCCGGGGGUGCUCUUGGUGGAUGCUCAAUGAUUCCCUGGCAUUAAAAUGUAAACUCAAGAUCAGUAUUUUCACAUCCUAUUACAGUUUCAGCUAUCUGAAGCAGACUUACAUGGAAGAGCUAGAAAGUUGUCACAGAGAGAAGCUGCUUGACUACAAAUUGUACGGCUAGAUCCUUGCCACUACAUGCAAGGUCCGAUAAAGAUGAUAAUAACAAAUUUAAAGAGAAUUAUUUCCCCAUCCAUCAAAACAUGAUGAGACUACCAGUACUAUCACUUUAGUGUAGUGCAGAUUAGGUCUAGAAGGGUAGUUUGUCAUGAGAUUGGACAAACUAAAGAUCAGAAGCAUAGAGUUGAGUAGGUUAAAAGACCUAGCAGUGUGCACUGACAAAAGACCUAGCAGUGUACUAAAUAAGUGGAUUCUCAUGAAAUGAUUAGUAAUAAGUAUUCAUGCACACCUGCAGUGAUUCUUCCAAAGCAGUUUCUAGAUCCCUGUCGCCUGAUAUGGAUUCUAGAAGGUUCAUUAUAGCAGGUGUAAUCUCCUCGGCUCUAGGCACUGUUCUAUUGCUGUUCCCAUCUUGAUCUCCAGAGGAUUCAGUUAGUAUGCUCAAUUCCCGUGUUAAAUUCUGGGCAACAAGCCAUGCUGGAGGUGGAGGUUCCUGUCCCACAGUAAGGUGCCCUUCAAAAAGAAAUCUGGUGUCUGCGAAAAGCAACAUCUUAUUAACAAAUACAUAUUGAUAGGUAAUACUUUUGAGGAGAUAUAGCUAUGUUAAGUGCAUAACAAAAACAGACCCACAUUUGUUUUGUAUUUACAUAUGCUCAACUUGAUAAACCCGACAAAUGUAAUCUAAUUAAAUGGUCAGCAUUUGAAUGAGUUCUUACAACACUACCACGAGAUUACUCAUUUCAUACAGGGUUUCACAUGUAUUUAACUAUUUAUAAACGCUUUUGGAUGCUUCAUUAUAAAUAACAGUUCACCAUAGUACAUUCUAACUAAAUAUUUAGACUUUGUUUAUUAAUCUAACAAUAAUAUUUUAGAUAUGCUAUGUACCUGCUUCUCUGCUGCUUGGCAUGGAAUCCUCAUUUUCUUUUUCAUCAAGAUGCUCACGGGCCCUUGAAAUGCAGGUCUUCAGGUGCUCCUUUUCAGCAGGAUUGCUUACCAGCUUCUCUGUUCCCAUGAAGAGGUUCAGACCAGCACGCCAGAACCCCGGAGCUGUAUAUCUGGUUUGGAGCACUGUUGCAACACGGCAAACCGUCGAAUACAUCUGCAGAAAGUAACAAAUGCUCAAAAUAAACACAAAGACAAUAGACGACAUUCAUAAAAAAAAUCAACCAGUGGGGGGACUGCCCCAUGGCUUUUCCUUUUGCACUAAAAAAAUCUCAGUGAAACCAGUCCAGAAAGCCCCAAACCCUGGCCUCAUCCUACAGGGCCAUACAGUAACCAAGGCCGGUGACCACUGUCAUUACCCCAGCUGGCUAGUACUACUACUCGGUGACCAACCACCACACUACUAGUGUGUUUGCUAGAUGACACUUGUAACAGUCAAGAGUGAACAUAAAGGACAUUGAAGGCCAUAGCAGUCCAAAUAACUAAGAUUUUACGUAAAAGAAUACCAAUGUAGGCAUAUAGUUGUACUGUAGGAUGCAAAUUAAAUGACAAGAUCAUUUCUAGUUAAAAGAAUCACCAAUCGCACCUUUUUUAUAACAUUAAUAUAGAUCAAAUGACCAGAAAAAGAUGCUAUGCAUUUUGCAGCUCCAUGGCAAAUAUCUGAAUUUGUAUGUGUGUGCCAUAGAGUAGCAUAUUAUCUUUCAUGUACUCUUAGUUAAGCACAUCAAGGGAAGUUACCUUGGCCUUAUGGCUCCCUAUGCCCCACAUCAUGUGUUACUACUUUCUGCAGAUAAGUUUGUUCCUAAGAUGGCCACCAAUACUGGGGUUGUGAUGCCACUUUUAUAUGACCUCAAACAUGAUGGUCUUAGUUAGAGCAGUCCUUAAUUAGUAUAACAGGGGUAAAGCAAAGUGUCAUGGAUUGAGCUGCCAAAUGGGUCUGCCACGGACCGGGCUGCCAAAUGGGCUAGUGUUGUCCGGCUAUGAAGGUUCAGACUUCAGAGCAGAUGCCAGGAGAGGGGAUCGAACAGAACAAGUAUAGGCUCUGUCUUCUCCUACCUCUGAACUCUGCUCAUGUACUAGUUCUUGCUACUUGCCUCUGAUUCCUUGCUAUUUCUGAUUCUCUUGUGUUGUAUCCCAAACCACCAAUCACUGCUGUUGCUGAGAUUUGUCGGUCUAGGACCGUGACACAAAGUCAUGUCAUUAUUCAACAGGCACGUUACUAUAAGAAGAAGAUCAAAAGUUUUGACCAAAACCAUAUUAGCACAUAGUAGCACAGUGAGUUAAGCCAGCCUUGAUUUCAUCACUAUUGACGAACAAGUGCGAAUGUCCCUAGUUAAUUGCUAUGGAAACGCCAUGGCUAAAAAUUUAACAGUUGCAAUCGAAGCAAAUCCAUGUCCACGCAGUGCUACGACGGCCUACGGUUCCAUCAGCAUCGAAUUUUGGUUUUUGGAUAGCCAGCCGUGCCGUGCCGGCCACCCAAAUCCCAUGGAAGGCAACGAGAAUUUCUCCGUGGAGGAGGCGGGAGAGGGCAGGUGAGGUGGGGGUCUGCGUUACCGAUUUGCGGAGGGUGGGUGAGGCGCCGGCGUAGCGGUCCCGGACGGCGGCGGCGAGUUCGUUCACGGCCUCCUCGAAGUGCUGCUUCUUCCCGAGCCUCUGCCGCAGCGCCUGGAGGCGCGCCUCCACCGCGGCCUCGUCCGUGGCGGUCGCCGACAUGGCGGCAGGCAGCAGGGUGUGGUGGUGGUGGUGGGGGAGAGGACAACAGGGGGGCCUCUGAGUUUUGGAUCCGCGUCCUGUGAUUUCGAGAGUUUUGGGGGGUUAUAGGUAGGGAGGAUUGGGAAUCGAAGGUUGGCUGGCGUGCGUCGCCGCGGCGGAGGUAUAAAAAGGAGAGAAGGCCGAUGCCGGAGGUGGGCGCCGCGCGCUGGCUUGGAGGAGAGGAAAGAAACACCGCGGUAGUAGGCGGGACGGUGGCCGCUGGCCAGGGACAGGGAGGAGGCGCGGUGGCGUGCCGCUCGACGGGACGGGCCGGAGACUGACGGGGAGGAGGCUUGGCUUCCGUUAACUUGAGACGGCGGUUUUGAUAGCCAGAUGUGGUUUUUUUUUUUUGAGAAACUGGUAGCAGAUGGGUACUGAACCUGGACUUCGGUGUGUCGUUUUCUAGGCCGAAACUGGACGGCUAUGAGCGUGAUUUUUUUUUUUCCAAGAUCAAGCCAUUCACUCGUAUUUCAUAACUCCAAACGGCAAAAGAAAAAAAAGACACCUUUCGUUCAGGCCAGACAAUGUAUAUAUUGUGGCCCAUAUACUUUCCGCCAAGCAAACAUAGCCCACCUGCACCGUCUUCUCCUGGGCCUCGUAGGCAUAGCAAGGCCAUGGGUGAAACGCAGCAGCCAACGCGCGUGGGCCGCAGAGCUGAGCCCUCGUAACUACGGCCUCCAGGCUCCAGCGCACACGCACGUGGGCCGGGAGCGGAUCGGAAACUUCUCCGUGCGCACGCACGCGUACCACAGCCAACAACAUCCCCGUGCGGCCGUGCGUGCGUACGUGGCCAGCCAACCAACCAAAACCACGUUCGCACCGCCGCGGUCCGCGAAGGCGGCAGCAGCAGCGUGUCGCAGGCACAACCGAGCCCGCGCCUCCGGGGCCUCAUCAGCUGAUCAGCGUCUCCCUCUCUCUCUCUCUCUCUCUUUUUUUUUAUCUUUCCUCUCCGCGUCGUCGUCGCGAACAGACCGGUCGACUCUCGGCACGUCGGCCGCGCGCCGUCCUGGAGCUGGAGUAUCCAUCCUGUGUGUGACGCUAGCUAGGUGGUAAUUAUCACCGUUACCUCACCUCACCUCACCUCUGCAGUCUCGGGGACGGCGACCCGGGCACACGCCCGCGCGCGGAGCUGUUUGCUGCGGGACACCGCCCGGGACCGGACACUUCGGUUUGGCUGCUCGCUCGUAGGCGGCGGCCGGGGCACGUGUCUGAAAACCAGCCGCGAAACGGAACACACGCACACCCCAAAGCGGGACGCUGCAACACGCACGUCGCCGAUGCGUCCCCACGCGCCGAUGUCGCUAGUAAGUACAGUAUAGCACGCCCAUCAUCAACUUCGAUGUGCCAUUUGCCAACAAACCGGGCCAUGGCCUUAGGCCUUUGAACGAAACCCCGUCGAAUGGGAAAUGGGAUGGAUCGUCGUUUUGAACGGAGGGAGCAGCAGUACCGUAGAUCACAACGAGGUACAGCAGAACCACAUGUGCGGUCGGUCUCGCAGUUCCGAUAAAGAGACCAGAGACACGGUACUACGUCUACCGGCCCAUCCAUAUGGGACGUGCUGUAUGAAGAUUCCCGGAGGAUUAGGACUACCUCAAAAAAUACGGAGUACUCCUACUCCUACGUAGUAAUCCCUCCGUACUAAGAAAACAAAAAAAAAAACUGUACAUUCCUUUGAAGACAGGAGUACGAGCGUGUAGUCUCUCUCUCUCUCUCUCUCUCUCUCUCGCGGAAGCAAGUGAAAUUCACAUGCGCCGAGUCAGCCGAUUAGCCGAACAUGAUUUCUGUAUCAACGAAUCAUGUCAGUCAGGUCAAGCAUACGUAUAUAUCACUUCUCAACGUUUGUCCUCCAGCAUUAAAUAAAACAGCAGAGGUUUUCUACGUUUUCUUUUUUUUUUGAGAUAACAGGUUUGAUAGUACGAAUUCAACAUCGCGCUACAUUCAUCAGAGGAUCGGAUCGGUUAGGGAGAUAUCCUCUGGUGGUAUCAGGCAGUCCCAAUGGAAUAUUAAUGAUAGUUUCUAUCUCUAUUUAUUAUACUGCCAACUAAGCAAAAUGCUGACGUGGCAAUUGAAUUAAUGAAGAAAGAGAAGAGAUUUUGAUGAAACGGUUUCUUCUAUACGACACGACGUCUUCACUGGAAUCAAGACACGAAGAAACCAGUAAAAUUCCGUUGGGAAGACUCUACUCGUUUCUAUCCUCUUGCUUCUAGAUCAUGUGCGCCACCGUCGCCUGACGAGCUUCCCCUUGCGUGCUUGCUGCUACCCACACGCUCGCUCCUCAGGUGCUUUCUGCUCCGGCAUAGCUCGCUGCCGCCGCGCGCUUGCUGCUCCGGCAUGGCCCGCUGCUGCCGCUCACUGCUCGGGCCCUUGCUCGGCCGCGGCUUGCUGCUGCCGCACGUUUGUUGCUCCACCGUGGUUUGCUGCUGCCGCGCGCGCUCGCUACUCGGGCGCUUGCCUGCUCCGGCGUGGCUCACUGCUGCUGCGCACGCUCGCUGCUCGGACGCUUGCCUGCUGCGCAAUGACUCUCUUUGCUUACGAGCGUUCUUUCUCAUAGUUCUGUCCACGCAAAAAUCCUCGAGCAAGAGCAUGUUACUUUCUCCUUUCCCUAUUAUUCAUGAUGUGUUCCUUUUCAUUUCAAAAUUGGACGAUAGACAUUUCCUCUCCAGUGAAUUAGACAUCAGACACUGUCAGUGGGUGAACACACGUUUGGUGAAGCCACAUGUUGUUUGUAAAAAUAUUUGCCACAGCUGAUCCUCCUGUGUUUGUUGUUGCAUUUAAGUUGCUAUUUAUGUGAACAAAUUUAUAGAAACCAUGGGUUGGAAAGGAGUAGUUUCUUGGUGAGGUUUCCUAUGCUAUAGAAACUACUUGGUUUCUAUCAUUGGGACUGCCCUCAUACCACUUGUUUAAUCCAACACCAUACAUUUAAUUCCGUCCGAGGAAAUAUCUACUCUAUGAGUCUACGAAAUAAUCAAUUCUUAGAAUUUGUAUUAGUCACAUUUUUUAAAGUUUGACUAACUUUUUUUUAGAAAAGAGUAACAACAUCUAUGUCAUAAAAUAUACACCCUAUAAAAAAUAUUCUAUGAUGAAUCUAAUGAUAUUAAUUUGAUAAUAUCAGUAUUAGCGUUUGUUUCUAGAAAUUUAGUCAAAAUUUAAAAAUUUGAUUUAUAACAACUUUAGAAAAUUGGAGGGGGUAACAUCUCAACAUACUAUAGAGCAUCUCGUUCAAUUCAUUGUACCAUAUGUGUUCAAUGAUUGGCAUAUGACCGCAUAUAUAAAUAUAAUAUAUACAUUAAUUUUUGUGGUGCUCCUGGCUGCCAUAGUGCCAUGGCAUGCCGCAUGCCAAAACCGAGACACAAAAAAAGGGGCCGAGGUGACGCACGGCACGGAUGCGGACACGGAGAUUGUGCCCCCAAGUUGGCUAACCGCUCGCGCGUUUCCUACCUUGCAAAUUGAUUUUGAGAAAAAAAAAAACGCAAAAUGUGGUUGGGGAGUACGUGAUGAACUGCAAAAGUUCGGUGACCAGGCCACUGGUACUGCUGGUGGUUUUAUAUGUGGCCGAGUCCGUGUCCAAGGGAUGGGCUAAACUUCGUGCGGUUAUUAUUAUCAUUAGUAUUAUUUUUGUCACCAUGACACGACGAUGGGACGAUGGGACUAGCUACUGCUGUAUACUAAUACUCCCUCCGUCCAAAAAAAAAUGUCGUUUUAGAUUUUUAUGCCACAAGUUUGACUCGAUUUGUAGAAAAUAUAUGUAAUAUUUAUAUCUCGAAAUAAAUUUGUUAAAAAACUAGACUUAAAGAUCUUUCCAAUGAUACUAAUUAUGUAAUAUAAAUAUUAAUAUUUUUUACUAUAUAUUUAGUUAAAGUUAUUUCUCGGAAAGUGAAAACGACACUUAUUUUGGGACGGAGGGAGUAGUGUGCUAGUGUAUUGGCAAGAUGAUGACAUAGGCCUUGUUUAGUUCACCCUGAAAACCAAAAAGUUUUCAAGAUUCUCCGUCACAUCGAAUCUUGUGUCACAUGCAUGAAACAUUAAAUAUAAACAAAAACAAAAACUAAUUACACAGUUUAGCUAUAAAUCACGAAACAAAUCUUUUGAUCCUACUUAGUCCAUGAUUGGAUAAUAUUUGUCACAAACAAACGAAAAUGUUAUAGUACCGAAAAAUUUUCACUUUUCGGAACUAAACAAGACCAUAAAUUAUAUUUGCCCGCAAUGACCGUUGAAUCCGUGCAAGUGCUAGCUGCGAAAUCUGGAGCUCCAAGCCAGACGUAGUAUGUAUAGAUGUAGUAUUAUUUAUGUAAUUAAUCAAAGUCAAUGGCUUAGAGUGUAUCCUUUCAUGCGUAGUACAUGUGUGUGUCUAUGCUUUAUUACAGCUUGGAAAACGACAAGCCUCUGCAGGAAUCUUACGGUUUUGAUGGAUAUGGUACAAUUAGAUGACCGCACCAAACAAUUACCGAUCUCGGCAGACCUUUUAAAAUUAGGAAUGCACGGUGCCAAACUGCCAGCCGGGACAUUUUCAUUAAUUUUCUUCGCAGUUUUUUUUUGUUGUAUUUCUCCUUGCUAGAUCCUUGACGAUCGCCUAAUGGCGUGGUAUACAGAAUGAACGGGAUGGAGGACGCUACGUACACGUAUGGAUUACGAGAAGGUUAGUUAGUAGACGACAUAAACACGCGCUGUGCUGUACGUACUCACUACUCAUCAGGAAAAGGAUCGGAGGAGAAGCAGGAUCCAUCGGAGCAGUCGAGAAGAAGGCUGUCACGUCAAGAUCGUUUGUUCCAGCCUGAUCACCCGACGAUCUCGCUCGCCGGCGGCCGCUCGGCGGCUCCAGCCUCCAGCGGCAGUUCUCCGCCGGUUCGGCAAUCGACACCAACACAACACGUCGACCGGCAGCCAGCCGCUCCUCCAUUCCAAAACCCCAAAACUGCCUUUGCGAGGCCCAUAGUAUAGCCGGUUUCCUGCCUGCGGCGUUGUGCGUUUGCCAGUCGCCGCGACAUCUCGGCCGAAGCCGGUUUCAGUUUCCUCUUUGUGCUCACGAACGUACGUCUCUGCCAGGAAUCCCGUCCCAAACAGAGAAACCGAGCAGCUGCAUACGUACUGGUACAUGAGACCAGCAAGAUUGUCGUUCACGAAUCAUGAAUGGGCGCAAAGCAGGGAGGAAGAGUAGCUAGCUACUAGCGUUAUUAGGCGUGCUACACGCCGUAGUACACGGCGGCACAGGCUAGCUAGAGAGCGUCGUCACGUGAACAGCUAGUCUGUGUGACUAAUGACUAAUCUAAAAGCAGAUAUCUUUUAUCGAAAGCGAAGAUUCGUACAAUGCUUUGGUUAGAAUAUAUAUAUAUAUAUAUAUAUAUUAAAACAAGUGUACCAUGCAAGCCAACCUUCCGAAUACUUGGUACUUUGAUAUUUUAUUAUGAGAAUAUUUUAGAACUAUUUAAAUAACCUUUAUAAAGGUACUUUAGUUAUUUCCAUCUAAAAAUGUACUAUAUAUCACCAUGGUAAUCACGCUUUGAUCAGAACUGUCACGUGUUUUACGGGGGUUAGUGCUCCUUUUUCUCUCUUAUAAUGACCUUUUGUGCUUCGGUAAAAGAGGAAGGAAGGAUCGUUGGAGGUGAAUUUAAGGGGGUGUUGAUUGCAGGGACUAAGCGCGUCCUCGGCAGUUUGGUAAAACAACUUCGUAUCUUGAUUUUUUAUAAAAAAAAAGUUUUCUCUAACAGUUUGAUAAAAGAGGUACUUAAAAAUAAAAGUUGUCAAAUAUCCUCUUCAACUCAUAAAUUUGCAAAAUGGAGUGAACUCUUCAUCUCUCUAGUAAAAGAUAUGAUCGAAACUAGAAAACCAAAAAAUAACAAGUAGAUAUGCACCUUACUAUAAAUUUUUAAUUUUUAGAAAGCUAUUAUAGGUUACUGUUGGAGGAUAACAAAAUUUAAAGUUGCUAUUUCUUUUAUUAACUUGCUAGAUCUAUUUUUUUCGAGACGAAGGAUCUUCCCCAUUUCCAUUGAUCAAACAUAUCAAGUAAAUUAUACCAAACUCCUGGAGAUGCUCUAAGGCUCCGUUUGAUUUCAAGCGGUAAACUUUAACUUUUAUCACAUUGAAUGUUUGAACAUAUACAUGAAGUACUAAAUAUAGAUUAUUUAUAAAACUAAAAACACAGUUAGAGAAUAAUUUAUGAGAUAAUUUGUUAAGCCUAAUUAGUCUAUGAUUGGACACUAAUUAUUAUAGUUACAAAUGUGCCACAACACCUUUUAAACUUUACUCUCUCUAACCAAACAAGUCUUAAAGUUUAAUAUGUGUCACAUCAAAUGUUACAUGAGGUGAUUUAUGGGAUAUUUGAAUACUAAAAAAAAAUAAAUUACAGAUACCGUCAAUAUUACGCGAGAUGAAUUUAUUAAACCUAAUUAAUUUAUUAUUAGGACAUGUGUAUUGUAUUUAGUAUCUAAUUAUGAACUAAUUAUACUUAAAAAUCGUUUCAUAAAUUAGUCUCUAUCUAUAUUUUUAGUUUGAUAAAUAGUCUAUAUUUAAUGCUUUAUAUAUAUGUCGAAAUAUUCGAUAUGAUAAGGACUAAAGUUAGGCGUUGUUUAGUUGGUGAUUUUUUUUGCAAAAUGAUACUGUAACACUUUUAUUUAUAAUUGACAAUUAUUAUCUAUGGACUAACUAUGUUUAAAAAAUUGAUCUCGCUAAUUAUAGACGAACGGUGUAAUUAAUUAUUUUUUUUAUCUAUGUUUAAUACUUGAUAUAUGUACCGCAAAAUUCGAUAUGAUGAAAAAUCUUAGUUAUUUUACAAUGAUUCGGGAACUAAACAGCGCCUUCGCAGCAGUAAUCAAACGGGCCUAAGAUACUACUUCCUCCGUUCCACAAAUAAACACAUUGCUUUGAUCGGUAUGAUUUAUAUUUAAUCAUUUGUUUUAUUUAAUUUUUUUUUGCAAAUAGUAAAAUAAAUAAAUUAUUAUAAAAAUAUAUUUAACAAUAAAAUAAGUCAUAAAAAUAAAUAAUAUUUAUUAAUAUUUUUUUAAAUAAGUUAAAUGGUCAAACAUUAAUCUUAACAGUAAAAAAUAUAUUUAUUUAUAGGAGAAAAGAAGAGAGAUGAAGAAUGCGCCGAAGCGAGAGCAGCAGCACACGCGAGGCGGCAGGGGAGGCUAUACCUGGGCAUUAAAGAUGGCAACGGAUAAAAUCCGCGCGGAUAGUGCCAUCUCACGCCCGUGCCCGCGAGCAAAAUCUCAUGCCCGCAUCCGCGCCCGCCACCCGCCACGGGUAGCAACUUGUGUCUGUGCCCGCUAUCCGCGGGCAAAGCUUGCCCGUGGGCAUGCCCGUAUACUCAGCAAAUACCUCUAUUGGGAGGCACAAGAUUUAUUGGGAGGCAUCAAGAACAAGUGAACUUUCCUUUGAAAUUGCACAGGCGAUGGACUGCACCGCGGAGACGACGUCUGGGUUGGAGGCGCGCGAGUGGGGUCUAGAGCGGAGGCGGCGUCCUGGAUCAAGGAUGCAGCGAGUAGGGUCUCGAACUCUGAGGAGCCGGCCAGCUGUGAGUGGAGACGGUGUCCUAGACCUAGAGCGGUGUGCGCCGCGAGCAGAGCAGCCGCGCUUGUCGGAGUGGAGAUGGCGUCGUGGAGCGAGGAGCCUUCGAGCGGGGAGGCCGGAGUCGCAGGCUCACGAAGCAAGGAGGCGGCUUUGCGGAGUCGCAGGGGUGAGGGGAGGAAGUGACGGCGGCUGGUGGUGGAGUGGUAGAAUUGGGAAUUUGGAUGAGAAAACCCUAGCAUCUGACUUUAUAUAUCUUCUCGACAGUGGCCCCACAUGUCAGUGCGGGUUUGGCGGGUUUGCGGGUACGGGCAUGAUCUUUUCUUACCUGUGAAACUAUGCCCGUUGGGCGCAACUUUCUGCCCGCGCCCGUGUCCGUGGGCACAGAUUCGUGCCCAUAUCCUCGCCCGCCGGGUCGGAUGCCCGCGGGUACGCGGAUAUUUUCUGCCCGUUGCCAUCUUUACUGGGCAUGCAGCCCGAGCCCGUGAGCACGGCCCGAAGCCCGUCAUUUUGGCCCGGCCCUAGCCCGGCCCGGCCCGAAAGUCAUUGGGCUCAGGCUGGCACGGCACGGGGCUGCAGGCCGUGCUUGGGCCGCACUUCAGGCCCGCGGGCCGGCACGGCCCGGUCCGUCAAAUAACAACAUUGUAUAAAAUAACUCAUUUUAAUAUCUAAAUCUAUUCUCUACAUCUGUCAUAUGUAUUUGAAUGUGUUCUUUAUACUGAUGAAGUGAUGAAUUGAUGAAUGUGUUUGAAAUAUGCUUUUAAAUCUGUGUUUAUUGAUAUGUUAUUGUUCAACGGGCUAUGGGCUGGCCCGGCCUGACGGGCCCGCCCGGUACGCAAAAUGGCCCACGGGCCCGUGCCUGGGCCGGAGGUCAGGCCCGCAGGCCGGUAAGGCACGGCCCGCAGGGCACGACGGGCCCCCUCGGCCCGUUAGGCAACGUGCCGGACCGGGCCGGGCCGGCCCGUUGCCCAGGUAUAGGGGAGGCGAGUGGCACGGGCCCCACCGCAGCUAUCUCCUUUGGUGUCGUUGUCCAGUAGUGCGUCAGCGUCGCAGCUAUAUAGCGGGGCGUGGCCAGCUACCAUCUCCCCCACUCCGCCCAGCCUCCCACCCCCUCCCCACACUCCUUCCCGCUCACCGAGAGCCAGAGGGGGCAGCCAAAGCCGUGCCGCAAGCCCGCAACCACAAAGAUCUUGCCUGGCCUCCUUUUUCCCCCCAAGCUCGUCACUGUGCCGCUCGUGCCCUCCGCUCCCCCGGUCCGGUCCGCCACACCAAUAAUCCAUCCACCACCCCGCUGCUGCGGCGAUGUGCGGCGGCGCCAUCCUCUCGGGGUUCAUCCCGCCGUCCGGUGUGGCGGCUGCGGCGGCGGCCGCCAAGAAGAAACAGCAGCAGGGGCGGCGCGUGACGGCCGACCUGCUGUGGCCGGGGCCCGGCAAGAAGGGAGCGCUGCCCCAGGAGGAGGAGGACGACUUCGAGGCCGACUUCCGCGAGUUCGAGCGCGGCCUCAGCGAGGAUGACGACGUGGACGGCGCCGGCGAAGGCGGCGACGACGAGGUCCAGGAGCUUGCUCCGCCGGAGCCGGUGAGGUUUGCCUUCGCCGCCGCGGCUAAGGCGCCGCGCCCUGCAGUUGGUGAGCACCGCAUUAAAGUCGCUACCUUUUUUUUUCUCUCUCGUUACAUGGCACGCACACUGGUUAGACGGGCGAAAGAAGGAUGACUCUUUUGCGGCGCUGUUUCUCGAAUCUCCUUUGGUUGUUGAGGAGAGGACUGGGGUUCCAUGGAACUGCGGUGCAGCCAAACAGUGCUUCUCUUAUAUUCUUUUGGUUAGCUUGGAGUGGGCAAGGCUGUUCAGACUUUCAGUGGGAACUGAUGACGGCUGCCUUGGUAUGUUAUAUGCAAUCUGCUAGCUUCUCUGUCUGGAGUAAUAUAUGCUGCAAAUGGAGAAACUAUUACUACUAGUUCUUAAGGUAGUGCAUGUGCUUGCUCUGUGUUAUGUAGAUCAUUGUGCUAACCCGGGAUUUAUGCAAGGAAGAUUUGUUGAUUUUUUUAUAUAUAUAACUUUACCGUUAACAUAAAUGAUCUAUUGAUCAAUUAUGAGAAUAAGACAAUAAGUACAUGCAUGUCUUGUUAGGGUAUUAGUUUAGUUGUAUUUAGAUUGGGUGCCUUACUCAGACUGAUGUUUAGUUAAUUUCAGAAUUUCUGGAUUUUUCCCUUGUUAUCUCCUUAUAGGUAGUUACCUUCAGGUCUAAAUUUCUAUCUGUCAAUUUUAUUUUUUUAAAUCCAGGUUAUGCUGUUUUUUUUGGUGUGUGUGUGUGGGGGGGGGGGGGGGGGGGGGCUCAAGACAAGAAUUUGAGUGAUUCUAAUUUACACGUUCGUGAUUCUUAAGUUAAGUAGGUAAAAAAGGUAUUCUAGUCUGUGUUAAUUGAAGAUCUUGAUGGAUCUUCAAAGGUGACUGAUUGCAAUAGAGCAUCAAACUGUUUAUUGGAAGCAUAUGCUCAUGGGCAUUCUGUGUACCAGAGAUUGCUUAUACUCUUAAUUUGUCCGAGAAAAGGACAUUAUUUAUGCUUCAACCUCUUUGUUGUUUGCUACUAUUCUCCAAUUCAGCUACCCGAACAAACUACCUACGAUUAGAGUACUUAUUGGUUGGUUACAAACAAUUCAUGCUAGAUGUGGAUUGUGUCCAAUUCCUGGUCACCUGCUUUUUAUCUGAUGAUAUAAUUUCGUGAAUCUGGGACAUAAAACGGGAAACCAUGAUUAACAUAUAAAUUGUCUAUUAUAAUAUAUAAAUUCAUCAUCUAUUGGAGUGGGGGAUCCUUUUCUUAGAUGCUGAGAUAAUUCAAUAAUAAUAUUGCAUACUAGAUUACCAUGAAUUUAGAUGAUGGUUUGUCCUUCUAACAAUAUUGAUUGUAUUUUUACUAUCUGUAGCUAACUGGCUAUCGAAGUUCUUCUGUAUGUGUUAUUAUCUGCUCAUACAAGUGUAUAUUCACUUCUUUACAAAGCUUGCAAACACCUAUUCCAUAUGCUGUUGAGAUGGACUGAUAGACAGCCUUUAUUAUAGAUGGUGUGAUGACUCCAAAGGAUGUUCAAGGAGAUAGACCUACUGCUAACUCAGUAAAGCGCAACCGGAAGAAUCAGUACAGGGGAAUCCGCCAGCGCCCUUGGGGCAAAUGGGCAGCUGAAAUCAGAGACCCUAGCAAGGGCGUCCGUGUUUGGCUUGGAACUUACAACACUGCUGAGGAGGCAGCUAGGGCAUACGAUGCUGAAGCUCGCAAGAUCCGUGGAAAGAAAGCGAAGGUCAAUUUUCCUGAUGAAGUACCAGGUGCUCAGAAGUCAACUGCAAAGCCAACUGAUUCAAAUGCAACAAAGCUAGCUCCACCCCCAAAGGCCUGUGCUGAUGAGGUUUUCAGUAACCUGAACAAUGACAACAAUGAUUUGUUCGCAAUGUUUGCGUUCAAUGACAAUAAGGUUCCUGUGAAGCCAGCUGAGGUUGCCAGUUUCCUCCCUGCAGUGAAACCUCUGGUGCCCAGUAAGAGAUCUGCGACUAACAUGCUUUCUGACCAGAACAGCAACUCCUAUGGCUCUUCUGACUUUGGGUGGGACGAUGACACCAUGACCUCAGGCUACACCUUUGCUCCCAAUAAUGCUAUACCAGCAUCUUACAUGCAAGGUGGAGAGUCAAAGAGAAUGAGGAACAACUAUGGUGUAGCCAUGUUUCAGGGAAAUGGCGCCCCCAGUCUCGCACAAGUCAUGCCUGGUUUUGAUCCUGAGAUGAACUAUCAGCCAUUGCCUUAUGUUGAGAGCAGCUCAUCAGAUGCAUCAAUGGACAGCCUUCUACCACAGGAUGGGGCAAGCAAUGGGGAUAUCUGGAGCCUUGAUGAGCUGCUCAUGGCAGCUGGUGCUUAUUGAGAAGCUAUGGUUAUUAUCAGUGUGGCGUGUUAACAGCAAAAAAAUGUAAGGCGCCCAUACUGCCUUUUUUGUUUUCCCCACACCGCGCACAUCUCUUGUAGAAGAUUUACUUCUGCCGUGAAUGGAGUUUCUCAGCUUCGUUUUAUUUUUAUGCCAGGGCUCCUACCUGUGGUGAUGCUGGAGGGGCAAGCCAGUUGAAUCCGCUACAUUUUGUCGCGGUAGUUAUAUAUGGUAGAUUACAUAUAUAUGCUUUUGCCAGUUGAACUCUAUGACCAUGUUUAUAGUAUGUUGCUGCGUGGUGCGUCUAUGAUUGGAAGCGAGUUUGAGACUGAUUCAAUAAUUUACCUUGCCUAUGCCUGCUGGACUGUAGUGUGCGUACUGCAUGUUAUGUGUAUAUAUAUAUAUGGUGUGCUUAUGUAUUGCAAUUCUUUGUCCGGAAGCACUCGACUUCGCUUUCUACGCAACAUUUCUUUUCGGGAAAUGGUAGGUGCCGGCCAAGUCCGACGAUCUGUGGCACCAGAAAUCGAGAAAGAUCUGGAUGACCUAAUCAAGCUUGCUGGUUUGCUGAUGUGUAUGCUUGUUUGUCUCACUCAGCUGUUUGCUGGGAAUAAAUUAAUUAAUUAAGUUUGCGUUAGAUUCCGGCUGGGCUGGAGUUGUGUUGUUUAAGGGCCAGUGGUCGAGCCAUUAGCUGAACCUGGGCGGGUUCUGUGCUAUAUAGUUUUAUGCUCAAAGACAUUUUUAUGCUGCAGACGGAUACUGGAACAGAUAGUUUUAUCUUGGACUGUGACCCCAAGCUAAGGUGGUGAAUCGCACACUGGAUUUGGUAUCUGGUUUUGCUUUUCAAGCUUGGCACUGAGGUAUAGUACAGCCAUAAACAAAGCCGAAUUCUUGAGAACUUUUUAGACCAAAAAACAAGUCUUGAAUCGAAUUGUAGUAGCUGUUCACAUAUCUUUUUCACCUUAGGCCUUGUUUACUUUCUCCUAAAAAUCAAAAAAAAUUUAAGAUUUUCUAUCAGAUCGAAUCUUUAGACACAUGCAUGGAGUAUUAAAUAUAGACGAAAAUAAAACUAAUUAUACAGUUUGCCUAUAAUUUGCGACACGAAUCUUUUGAGCCUAGUUAAUUUAUGAUCGGACAAUAUUUAUCAAAUACAAAUAAAUUGCUACAGUGCUCUAAAAUUUUUUCGAACAACAACUAAACAAGGCCUUACAUGCCUAGUGAUCUUCUUUUGGGCAAGUGUCAAUAUUAAUGCGACUGCAAGACUAGAGCAAGUCUGCUUUAUCCCUGAUUUUUUGUCAAAAUAUUUGAACGGAAAACGAGCAAAUUGGCCAACUUGGGCCUCUGGCUGUUGCUUAUGCUGUCAGUUGUGGUCGUCAAGGAAUUAUUGCCAUGGCGUCAGUGACAGAGCCUGCUCAUUUAUUGCGGUUUAAGGAAGUCAGACCAUCACAAGUGGGUUUUCACAAUGGCACAGCUACCGCCCCGAUGUUGUUCAUCUUCCUCCUCCUCUCUCCUCACUAUCACCUUGGCACCUCCUACCUUCUUCCGGCUGCCGAUGACCUCAUCGUCGGCCGCCUACACCCGCCGCUCCUUCCCUACCAUUUCUAAUCCCAAUUUCGAUGACUUACCUCUUCCUUCUUGCUUGCCGCCACCUUCGACCUUGCGUUGGCUGUAGGCUUCCUGGCCAGCGACCUCACCACCAGCCGUCCACCCUCGCCGCUUCUUUUCCAUCCUUCCCUAAUCCCAAUCCGCUAGUGACCUAAGUUGCUGUCACCCCCACAACCAGCACCACUCACCGGUUGUUCGGUUCUACCUGCUCGGCGGCACCACCAUCAUCGAGCUUGCCACCGGUCGAACCGUUGCCUUCGCCGCGCUAUCCAGCCGCUACCGUUAGGCCCCUCCCUUUGUAAGGCUGCCAGGUAUUGGUGGUGAUGGCGGCGCACGGAGGCCCGUCCUACCUCUAAAGGUGUUUGUGGCCGCUUCCGGACAAACAAACAGUCGUGUUACAACAUUAUUGUUUUUAGAAAAUUUGACUCCAAACCUUGGACCAUCGAGGGCAAUCAUUUGUGUGGAGAAGUCUAUAUCUCUUGCUCAAGUUUCCAACUUGUAAACGCUGAGCUAAUAAGAAACCAUGUAAAUUAAAAUAUAUGCCUCCAAUGCCCCAAUGCCCAUUUAAAGCGAUGCAAAUCACCUCUAAGCUAGUGUUUUUUUAUUGUUUUUGUGUUUGUGUGUUCUAGUUUUGAUUGGCGUAACUGUUUCUUCACCAUCCAUUUCUUCCCCUGAUGUAGUGAAUAAUGUUUAAGUUGUUAAUGCAUCUUGGACAUGUCAAAAAAAUGGGAUGAUUUCUUGCGAGAUAUAUGUUUUCGUAUUGGGGAGAAUUGUGGUGCAGCCGGUUAUGUGAUUGAGGAGCCAAUGACCUUGUCUUCCUCUACAUUGGUGCCCUCAUCCCACUAGUUCUUCGGCUAUUCAUGAUCGAUCUGGUGCCUCCUCCACCGCUUGUCGUGUAGGCCCUCCCCUUUCAUCCACCGAUGUCUCCUAAUACGUCAUCGUGUUGCCUGCCUCCCUUCACUGUCCGUCGUCCUCUUGACCCUAUCCUUCCGUGACCACUCUUUCCUCUAACCACUCGAGGCGUGAGGUACCUGAGGCUGGCAGUGACCUUGUUGCUUUACUACACCGCCAUAUCGUGGCCGCAUCUCCAAACCUCCUUCUAAAUCCGUCGGUGAUUGAGAACCCUAAGUUUGGAUCCUUCUUCUUUCUGUGACGACAUGUGGAGGGGGCGCGCAACCAUCAUAGCCUUGAGUUUGACAUUGCAAAAGUAGGAUGCAACAUUCUUUGAACUAGGCAAAUCUGAACAUUUGACAAGGUACCAUGAGGAUUUUUUUUACGUGUGUUAAUCUAAUCUUUCCCUGGUGUAAACCACAUCCUCUAAAUUUUAUCCUUUUUAGAUUAAAGAACAUAACAUUUGGGCCUCCAACAUUCGUAAAUUUAAAUGAAUGAGUAUAGCCGUUCAUAACAACUCACAUAUUGUUUAGACUACGCUAGCUCUACAGUACGGCGACGGUUAAGACUUGGAACAAAGGAAGGAAACUCAAGUUCCUAUCCUAAUCCAACUUGACCACCUAGAUUCGCUGAAGAAUAUCAACACCAUGAUAGUCUCCGUCAAGUGGCUACAUACAUUCAUCUGAAUCUGAAUUUUAUCUAUCCUUAAAAACACAGAAGCGGAACCUCGAUCGACAGAAAAAUCAGUCUACCAUAAGGAAUUGACUGAAACCAACCUCCAUUGGGGGCUGGAUAUUUUGAUCGAUCCUCAUCUUAAUCUUAUCGACUAGUAGACCAUUUUUCACAUUGAAAGUAGUACCUGCGCGUGAUGGAUGUGGAUGAGGCUCUACGAGAGACAAAACGUCGCGGCCUGGAGCACAGGGCCGCCGUGGCCGUCGUCGCGCGCAAUAAUGUGGCCAUCGAGCACUUGGGCGCGCGCGCGGAAAAGGACCGCACGAGCACGAUGCUCCGUUCUUCAGUUGGCUCAUCACUUGUUGAUUGCCACGGACGGACGCGAGGACGAUGGAUCCCACUGCCAUUAGCACAGUAUAGUAGGUUCAAUGAACUGAGAGCACGUCCCUCUCAGAUAGUAUCACCAAUGGGGUACGGCAGGCCUCUUUCUAUUGCCAGGAUACAAACAAAACAAGCUGGUAUUUCUUUCCUUGCACGAACGAUGAUGGACAUGGACCCGCUCUGCUCGCCAGCAUCGGGUGCCCAUGCAAUGCAUCCAGCUGCGAUUGCGAAUUUGCGAGGAGGAGGAAGUAAUCGCCGGAGGCAAUUUGUCCAAAGUCUUCAGAUUUUUUUUUUUUUUUUUUUUUUUUUUGGGAACAAGUGCUGGAUCGGGGGAAUGAUUCGUUAUGAUUUCUUUCCAGGAAUUUGGAUGUAAAACAGUUGUAUUUCCUGCAGAGACUGAGAGUUGUGCGUGAUAUAUCCUCGUAUUCCAAAAUGGGUCCUCCUCACUCCUCAGUCGAUCCUCGCCCUCGUUUGUCCUCGUGACCAGCAGAAUUGGCUAAAGUCACCGGGUUUGUCGUGUACCGAUCGAUCUCCAUUAGAUUUGCUUCGACAUUAUCUGGGAUUAGAUUAUCUCCAUUAGCGUAAGAAUGAGUAUAAACUAAACAUAGAUGCAUCGAACUGGCAUGGCAUGGCAUUGGAGGUUUCUUAAUCUUCUCGUCAACUAACCCCAAUCCUUGAGUACACUGCACCCGCCCUUGCAGCGAGCUUCACUUUCCGACUCCUCCCACAUGUACAUAGUCAAGGACGACCCACUUGCUAUAUCUGCACUGUUUCAUCGGCACCGUAUUGAUGCGUAUAAAUCCUGUGUCCACACGCGCUGACACGUAUAUUUUCUAUCGCCAACGGCUAUCUACGUAUAUUUUCUAUCGCAAACGGUUAUCAAUUAAUACACCUUUGGCUGAAAAUUGUGCCACUAUGUGUUGGUGCUACGGUAGGACUUGUACUCGUUCUCGUGUUUCCCAGUAUCUGACGUGCUUGAUUGUGGCAGCAAGUUUGUUGCGGUUAACGGCCGACGACGAUGGCUAAUUAGCGCUCGUCAGCGCCUCAGAUCAGAGACCACGUACCGUCUAUAGACUAGGGCCGUUUAUAUUCCGUACUAGAGACACACCAUUUCACCGGCUGGCCGGCCGGGACCGGAUUUGCCCCAGCGCACAACUAGCACCACCACACGCAGCCAGAGAUAGAGACAUACUGUUUUCGUACUAAAAUAUAUACCAACGGCGUGUUUGAGACUACUCUGUUCCAUGUUUUUCAGCUUCGCUCCAUGUUUUUUAGUCAAACGAUUUCAGCUCCACGCACUCAGUUCGAGGAAAAAAGGUGGAGUUGUGAGAACACCUAAAGAGAUACUCCACAAACUCCAGUUUUUUUGUGAAGCUGCUCUAUGGUGGAGUUUGUGGAGCAGAGUUUGUGGAGCAGUCCCAAACACCCCCUAAGUCUCUAUAUAUUGUAUUGUUUGAGGAGACGAUAUGAACUUUGAUUAAAUAUAUACUAAAAAUCACAAUAUUUAUAUAGUUACAGUAAAUAUUGGUUUUAUUUUCUUCCUCAAAGUUUAGAUUGAUUGACUUCUCAAAAUAUGGGAUAGAGACUUAUUUUAGGAUAAUCUCAACUUUAAUUAAAUAUACACAAAAUUUAUGAUACCCAAUAAAUAUUAUUAGAUUAAUCAUGUGUAAUAUUUUGUAUAAUAAAUCUAUAAUUGGAUAUACAAAUGUAGUAUUUUUUUAAAACAUAAUUAAGUUUAGAAUAAUUGACUUCUCGAAAUGUGAAAUGUGACAUGGAGACUUAUUUUAAGAAAGAGAGUACGAUCACUUGAUCGUGCAGUCGUGGCUCGUGCAUACUUUGCGUUGGUGUCAUGUAUAUCUGGUCAAUCGACAUCACGCAAGCUUUGAUCGAUUGCCAUGUUAGCCUGUAUCAGGUCUAUGCAGUGGAGUAUAUUCAUAUUGAUUGAUUAUAUAAACUCUUAUGCAACAAUGUUCAAAACAGAUCCAAUACUAUAUUAGCUAGUGCUAGUACACCUGAUUUGGUCCUAUUAGACAGGUUUGUUCAAGCCGAUGCGUACAAAAAUUAAUAUUGUCAUCUUUCAUAUAUAUCAGCCUCUACUAAAACAUGAUACCUCAACUAAAAUAUGAAGGUGAAUACGUGUAACAAAAUUACAUAAACGACCAAAUCAGUUUUAUGAAGUGUGACUUACUUGUGCAGAAUCAGAAUAACCAAACACCAUGGCACUGCAUAUGUUUAAUCGUUUACGUACGCUGACUUAAGUUAUAGCUAUUUUUAUUUUGGAAGCUAUUUUAGAAUUUCUAUAGCAAAAAGUAGGCUCCAACAAAUAUACUAUCUAGUUUUAUAACAUAGAAAGCUGAUUAUCCCUUGAUUUUAGAUGGCCAUAUAAAGCCAACCACGGACCGUAGCUAUGUGAAAAUGAGAAAUAGUAAGGCUGCUGCAGAUCUCUUCUUCCUUAAAGAGUUUUCUAUUUUACAAAAUGACUAAACUAUAAAAUUUGGCUAGUAAUUUUAGCCAAACUAUUGAAGUUGCUCUAAGGUCUAAUAUGGACUAAAAUUGUUAAUACAAGCAACCAAUUAGAUACAUAUAUAAGCAACGUUUGGAUCUAAGUAGCUAAAAGUUAGCUGUUAACCAUUAGAUCCCUUAAAAAUGUCUAGUUAAUUGUUAGCUAAUACUCAACUAACAACUACUUUAUCUCGCUACUCCCUUCGUUCGAGUUGUCCUAAGUCAAAAUUUUAAAAUCUUGAUCGAAUUUCUAGAAAAAAAUACUAAGAUUUUUAGAAGUCUAAGCUUCGAGAAACAGAUAUAUUACAUCAUAUAUCUCUAGUAGUAGCUAAUAAUUAGCUAGCUAAUAUUUAAUGCUAUAAGCUAUGCUAAUUAUUAGCGGCUAAUAAAUGGAGCCGUGCUCGAUAUACUCCUAGCUGGCCCUGCAUGCAGCAUGACUCAUGAAGCCUGGCCUUGUUUAGUUACCCCGAAAUUUAAAAAGUUUUCAAGAUUCUCUAUCACAUCAAAUCUUACGGCACAUGCAUGAAACAUUAAAUAUAGAUGAAAACAAAAACUAAUCACAUAGUUUAACUGUAAAUCGCGAGACGAAUAUUUUGAUCCUAGUUAGUUUAUGAUUGAACAAUAUUUACCACAAACAAACGAAAGUGCUACAGUAGCGAAAUCCAAAAUUUUUUCACAUCUAAAUAAGUCCCCUAUGGCCUUGUUUAGUUGCAAAAUAUUUUGCAAAAUGUGAAUAGUAGAAAUUUCGUUUGUAUUUAACAAAUAUUAUCUAAUCAUGGACUAACUAGGCUCAAAAGAUUCGCCUCGUCAAUUUCGACCAAACUGUGUAAUUAGUUUUUAUUUUCGUCUAUAUUUAAUACUUCAUGCAUACGUCUAAAGAUUCGAUGUGACGGGAAUCUGAAAAAUUUUGCAAAAUUUUUUAGAAACUAAAGAAGGCCUAUGUAAGGCUAGACGAUCGACGAUGCGACGUAAGCAUAGGUAGCGGUGUAGCACUCCGCCACUCAGCCGACUUGUGUCGACGGGAAAUUUGAUCCCCCCCUCAGGGUUGCAGCCUCACAAGAACAUAUAUAUAUAUAUAUACGUACGUAGGUACGUUCUUUCGUGCUCUAGUUGUUGCUGCGACGAGACGACAACAGCGCAUGAUUGGGUGGCCUUGUUUAGUUCACUCCGAAAUUUAAAAAGUUUUCAAAAACAGCGCAUGAUUGGGUGGCCUUGUUUAGUUCACUCCGAAAUUUAAAAAGUUUUCAAGAUUUCUCGUCACAUCGGAUUUUACGGCAAAUACAUAAAGUAUUAAAUAUAGACGAAAACAAAAACUAAUUACACAGUUUGUCUGUAAAUCACGAGAUGAAUCUUUUGAUUAGUUAGUUCAUGAUUAGAUAAUAUUUGUUAAAUAAAAACGAAAGUGCUACGGUAGCAAAAUCCGAUUUUUUUUUUCGAAACAAAGGCCUCACCCGCUGGUCCGUAUUCGUCGUCGACGAGCGUGGCUGAGGCUGCCUAGGGGCUAGAGGGUAGAGGGGUGGGAGGAGUUCGCAUUUGCAUGCAAGGCUCCGGGCUCCGGCCUCAGGCAAUGCCAAUUAAUGCCGACAACGCCUGAGGCGGACGGCACGGGCCUUAACUAAACGUGGGCUCAAGUAAAAGGGCCUUGUCUUGGACCGGCCCUCAACUUCUUCGACAGGGCCUGAAUCCCGGCCACAUCAUCAACCGUGCAUCCGCGGGCCUAACCGCCAAUUUGGCGUCUCCGGAGUUGAUUUGGGUCUUGUUUAGACAUGAAUUUUUUUAGAUUUCGCCACUGUAGCAUUUUCGUUUGUUUGUAGCAAAUAUUAUCCAAUCAGAGACUAACUAAGAUUAAAAGAUUCGUCUCAUGAUUUAUAGGAAAACUGUGUAAUUAGUUUUUUUGUUUAUAUUUAGUGUUUUAUGUAUGUGCCACAAGGUUCGAUGUGACGGAGAAUCUUGAAAACAUUUUGGAUUUUGGUGGGAACUAAACAAGGCCUUGGAUGGCUCCUAUUCCCUCCUCCUCCCUCCUCCCUUCCGGUAAGUUCGUCGAGGGGCAGUUUUUCGUAUGAUUUUUUUAUUUAUUUAUUGUUUCUCUCAUAUUGCAAUAGGUUUGUUGCCAUAUUACGACAGAUGAUUUUUGAAUGUUGCAAUGGGAUUUUGGGUCAUUGCAACAAAUGUUUUUGUGAUGUUGCAGUACAACUGAAGUUUUUUUUGAAGCUGCAACACAUAAUUUUUGAUGUUGUAGUACAUAUUUUUUUGCGAUGUUGGACUUGUUUUUUCGAUGUUGCACUACUUAUUUUUUGUUGUUGCAACGUAUUUUUUGAUGUUGCAGUGCAUGAUUUUCAAAGUUGCAAUAUAUAUUUUUAUGAUAUUGCAAUAUUUACAAUCCACUGUUGCACAAUAUAGUUUUUCCAUAUUUGUUUGCAAUGUUGCAUUUGAAAUAGUUUAUGCUCUUUUUUUGACAAGGGCAUGGUAGGGGAACUAGCUGCGUUAGAGAACUGGCAACAGGGGUGCGAUGGAAGUGAAGGACACUGAUUCCAUUUUAUUCCCUACCAUGUGCCGGCCAGACGGGCUCCCGUGCAUGGGAGUGGCGGGCGGAAUUUGUAACGGACUGGCUCGUGUGUCAGAUGCGAGUAGGAUUCGUAACGCACUCAUACACCGGAUGUCCAGGCGCUAGACAUAUACUGAAGUAAGGGAAUUGAAAGAGUAUAUCAAAGGAGAUUAGGAUGCCUAGGACCGGUGCACAAGUUUCGUCUCGUGUAUAUGAGCAAUUAGGCUUCCGUCUUGUUUGGGAUAUCCUUGUUUAGGCGACAAGAGAUAAUAUUAGAGAUGAAAUAAAAAAUGAUAAUAGGAGUUGAAAGAGGGUAUAAAAAGAAGUAAUAUGUUCGCUUGAGCUUUGAACAGUGUUUUUCUCUCACAACAAAUCAGCGAGCAGUGUUUUGACAUUUUCGUCUCGUGUAUCCGCUACUAGAUCGUACUAUACCAUGCGCAAAAAGUUUUAUUUCUUUUAGUAACUCUAGGUCCAAAUCUACAUCUAAAAUAUGGUUAGAGUAGCUCAGCUUAGAGCAGCUCCAAGGGAGUUUGCAAAUGGGUUUUGCAUUUUAGAAUUUGCCAAAAAAACUGAAAAAGAGGGGUCCAAUGGUUUGGCAUUUGAGUUUUGCAUUUUGGGCAAGUUGGCAUUUGGAGAAGGAGAAUUGGCAAAAAUGCCAAACUUUCCUUGGCUUGGCAAGUGGUGUAUCUGCGGGUUUCUCGUGGCCGUGACGUACUCCCGCACGGUGGGACUUUUCUUCGCGCCACAAAUAGGUUGCCGCGGUCCCUUCGCUUCUCCAGAUCGCGCCGCCAUCUUGGAUCGUCCCCUCCCACGCCGCCGCCGCCAAACAGAUCGCUUCGACCGUCGCCAUGAACUCAAGGCAGCCCGCCAUCCCUCCCACGCCGGCCUUUGUCCGUUCAAGGCCACCCUCCUUCAUCGGCCUCCGCACAGAUGGACAACCAAGCAGCCGGGUAUGUCUCCAUGUCUCCAUCUUCGGCGGAGAAGGAUUGGACUGGAGAUCGGUAGCGAAGGACUGGAGGCGGCGAAGGACUGCAGAUCGGCGCGCGGGAAAAUAAGAUCGCAGGAAAAAAGAAGACCGCGCACGGCACGAGGAACUCGUUCGCGCUAAAAAAAUUUGUUUGCCGGAUCCACCUAGACAAAUGCCAAGUUUGAUUUGCAAAGUCCCUUGGAGUACUCCUAUUUUUAGACUUUGCUUUUGUAUUUGGGACUUUGCAAAAAACCACAAAUGCCAACUCCAAAUGUCUAAAUGUCAGCUCCCUUGGAGUUGCUCUUAUAAUCUGUUUGCUUAGUUCGCUGUCCGGUUUGGUACUAAACCCCCGAUCGAGUUCGUCGCCCAUUCCCUUCCCCACAGGUCCACAAGCCGCAAAAAGCUCGCAACGACGCCCAGAUAUCACGCGAAACAGCACUCUGGUGCCUACGCCUUCGUCCUCCUCACUCAUCGGCGAGCCGGCGGGGCAUCAUCACCGCAUCAGGCAUGGCUGAUGGCCCGUCGUCUCGUCUAGGUUGUCUUCUCCAUGGCUAGCGGCGGCAUCUAAAGAGAGUUUCUAAACAAAAAAAAGGUUUAUACAUUUUCUAAAACAAAAGACUUUAUACAGUUAGACAUGAAAGUAGCAGGGUCGAUGCAUGGCUCGGUGCGGACUCCGUUGCCAUCGCCAUGUGCACAGAGAAAAUGGCGAGGAUGGAUGACAUGGAUACACCCAAUCAGGAAUUCAGAAAUAGGUCCCGUGGUCGGAACUGAAAACACAGAUUGUGGCACCUUCUGAAACUACGUAAAAUCUGGCAGUAUGGAAGUUUUGCCAACCAAAGGCAUCUCUUUUUCUGCCCCACAAAAAUGCAGACAUUUCACUGAUGCACGAAUAGCAAUGGCAUUCUCAAAUGGAAAAUGUGUGGGUGUCAGACUGGCAGUGGCAUUGCCACUGAAGAGCAAAGACAAUUCACAGAACAUGUCACACACAACACAAGCUGUCCUCAAUACUACUGUAGUUCUGAAACCUGUUUCAGACAUCUAUGGCUGUAAAUCUGCAGUCUUGCUCUUGCUCUCCCUACCAAGAAGAACCAUCAUAAGCAAUGGAUAACUAUAACUCCGCCGAUUAACAUUUGUCGAUCGACACGCCUGACUUGCAUUCCAAUCCUGCUUUCUGCAGAGUAAGAGCAGGGUCCUCUCUUUUGCCGAAAAAGCACCUGCAACGGGAACCUUUCUCUGACACAGGGGAGCCGCAGACGUAGCAGAAGCUAGUGCCACACCUGCACAUCUCAAAAGCAGUCAAAAGACGGAUGUUAGGCAAUUGUCGCGAUCGAAGGAUGCUGAUCAGUUUCCUCAGAGGUUCAGUCAUCGGAUGCCUGCACAGACAUCACUGAAGGCCAGACAACUGAAGAGUUUCAGAUGCCUGCACAGUUCGUAACUGAAUGCCUCCAGUAUUACUGAAGAGUUGCAGUAAAAUUCAGACUCGCAUUUUGACGAUCCCAAGAAAGAAAGACUGACAGGAGGAAGACAGAUGGAAGAGAACAAUACGCAGUACGUAAAUCGGAUAAUUACCUGCACACCAUGCGCCUGCACCCGUCGAUCUUGUCGAUCAUGGCGCGGCAGCUCGGGCAGCGCGUCCAUUUGUUCCCGACGGCGAGCCCGGCCAGCACGCACCCUCCUCGGCCGUCGCCACUGCCGCCUCCGUGGCGAUCGUCCCACGGCUCCUCGCACUGCAGGCAGAACGCGCGGGAGCACGUGGGGCAAUCCACCUCGGACACCAAGCCGCCGUCGGCGGCCUCCAGUGCCACCAGCUCGCCGCAGUCCCUGUAGGGGCACCGCGCGCGGGCGGGCCCCACGGCGCGCUCGCAGAGCGCGACGCACCAGGCGUCGAACACGUCGAUGUCCACCAGCUUCUUGCACGCCUCCGGGUGCAUGACGCCGUCGCGGCACUCGGGCGCCGGGCAGGGCACGGGCACCGCGCCGUUCGCGACGCGGCCCUCGAUGUACCGGACGACGCACUCGAUGCAGAAGUCGUGCGCGCAGCGCGCGUCUAGGACGGAGCCGCCGGCGCGGAACCGAUCGAGCACCAGCCGCCUCUCCGUGCAGAUGCCGCAGCAGAACCAGCCGAUCUCGUCAUCGGUCAGCGGCGCCACACGCGCGCGCGAUGACGACGGGCCCGGCACGGAGCCGCGGAUGAGCUCCUGCAGGUACAAGUCGUCGGAGGCGGCGCACGCGGCCGCGGCCGCUGCGUUCGCCAUGGGAUGGGGGUGCGUGGGUGGGGGAACGGGGAACGCGAGCCGAUGAGGUAGUGGACUCCGCGCAAGUCGUUGACGGUUGUUUCCUUGUAAGUUUUUUCCCUUUCCUUAAACACGAAGGAAAUGGAUUGCAAUGGGCUUCAAAGAAAAAAAAAUAGCGAGCUAUAGCGGCGCUAUAGCUUAGCUGCUGGACAGACUUGUCGCUACACUAUUUAUAUAUUUUUUCGCUAUCACAACUUUCAUCGCUAUUACGCGCUAUGCGCCACUAAGUUGUAUUUGUUAACAAUAAAUUUCACUGUUAUUAUACGCUAUAGCGCCGCUAUGAUAAAUCUUCUCAGUCUGACUCUCAAAACUCUAUCUUAGAUUAGAUUAUCAUUUAUCAUUUGUAACUAAUUUGGUAUUUUGGAUGAUGAAGCUUUUAUGAACCAUGAUGUAAUGUCAUAUUGGUAUUUUAUAAUGUUACCUAGACUUAUGAAAACAUAUUUUUAUUAAUCAAAAUUGAUAUUUACUGUGUCUUUUUCAUCAAUUACUCGUGUUAUAUAUAUAUUUUUUUAUUAAAACGCUAUCUGUUAUAGCGCCGCUAUAGCUACAUAGCUGUUGAAAAAAGUUGCCGUUAUUUUAAACGUUGAUGGGCUUACGGGCCAUUCGUCUUGGCCCGUAUAUGCAAAGCCCUAGCCCACCCUUGGCAGCACCCUUCUUCCUUCCUCUCCCUGCGUCAUGGCCAUGGAGGCAUGGAGCUCCUUCGCCCGAUCUAGUCCGACUGGCUCCACCAUCACCAGGACCCUAAAUCGCCUUCUCGCUGUUCCAACUACUUAUCUGAUGUCUCCCUAAACCUCUUCUCUUCUAAGCUCGCCGGAGUUGGAAAAAAAAGGGCUAGGAUAGACACGAGAGUGGCCGUCAGAUGCGGGCGUUGUGGUAGGUAAGAAGAACAGUGCACUGGUGGGCUCACCAUGUGUGUUGGAGUGAGAUGGGGAGGUAGGCGUGCAGUGGCAAAAACAAAAAACGGUGUCCUGUUUUGAAGUCACUACCAUUUCUAAUACAUAAUAUCCUUGUGAUAUUCUACACAAAUUUUGCGGUACUCUAGUAUAUAUGUCUUCUUAAAUACACGAACCUUUUCAGCAUUCUAGACUUUUAACUAAUAAUUUACUAUUUUUGCGCUAAUGGGUACCCAGGGUCCUGAAUCAGGGGUUAUUAAAAGUCACUCCAGAUUGGAGCCACGAUAGAAUUCGAGGCAUUGCUGGCUUCUCCACGCGGCGACACACGUCUCUAUACAUUUUGCAAAAACGUCCACCGUUUUUUAGUAAUCAACCCGCAGUCCUUGGACAUUUUGUAAAGAACCCCCACACUCAAAAACGAGCAAACCCUAAUCCCCUCCUCAUUCCUCUGGUUGCUCCCAUGCAUCGAUGCGGCUCGCCGCCCCCCUGCGCAUCCUAGCUCGCCGUCGUGCUCCUCGCCCUCCACCACGACCCAUGGGGCGUGACUCCCGUGGGCAACGGCUCACCGGGCAGGCGCGCAUGGUGGCCAUGGUCAGCGCCAGAGAAGGAAGCACUAGCUCCUCCCUGCCCUCUCCACCCCACGCCAUCUUCUUCCCGGCACGAGUGCCAUCAUGGCUUGAGCAUGGGAAGCCAUGCGACCUCUGUAGCAUGAGGGAGCUUGUGAGAUCCGGUAGUGCGCAGAUCAGGCGGAAGUCCCAUCGCCAUCCCCCUUCUCUCCCCCAAAGAGGCUCAAGGUGAGAAACGUGGGGGCUUUCAAGCCCUAGGGUUCGGUUGGGGGGUGAUUUAGACUUGAUCUCAUGGGUUUUUAUGGUUUGGUGCUUCAUGGCUGCCGACAUGGUGGAUCUGGCAACUGAAGCCUAGCGUUGGAUCAGAUCUAGCACCACGGCAUGCUUGUCAUGGUUCUUGGCAGGUGAGCUCACGAUUGGUUAGUUUGAUUUGAAUCUUGCUGAAUGUUGAUUGAUUUACCUGUGAAUUUCUGAUGCAUCUUCAAUGUCACGGUGUUGAGCUUCACAACGACCAAGUGGCCAGGGCAUAUUAUUUCAAAUCAACUUGCGUCUGAUCAUGUGAAUUCCCUUCUGGUCUACUAAAUUAAAGUAAUUUUACAUGUAGGCUAUUUAUGGUGGUUGCCUGUGUCAAUAUUUUUGUAGGUACAAAUUCAUAUGAAGUGAAAUAAAAAUUUCUCUAGCAAGGAUAUUUUUUGUGUGCUUCUAUUGCCUCUCCAGAAUGUCAAACAACAUCAGCUGUGAUUGAAAAGUUUUGUGACUGUAGCCCUUAACUUUCAUGUAGAUUUUUUGCUUGACAAUAUAUGUGAAGGUGUUAGGAGGGAUAAGUAGCGGUUUAGGUGUGGACUUUAAACAAUGUAAAUAGUUCUUCUUGCGUUGAUUGAUUAUUGUGAUUAGUUAUUAGAUUUGAUAAUUUGUAGACUCGAUUGCCUUGGUUCCAAUUCCUCCUCUGUUGCCGCAUCCAUGACAAGGUUAGUGCAGUGCAUGAUAACAACUAGCAUGAAUAUGUGCCUUUGUAAUUUAUUUUAGUGUCACAAUGCGUUGCUUCCUUUCAGAAAAGUAAACGUUUGUGCAACCAUUAUUGCAUUUUGUUGGAUUUCAUUAAUAACAAUCCCUGAUUACAUAUUUUCCUCUGCAUUCAGAACAGAUGUGUGCCUUCUCGAUGAGACAGAAGUAUCCCAGAUGUUUCUAUAGGGGCUUAAUUCAGCAUUCACACUGAAGUCUGAGUUUUUAACUGUUUUCAUAUCUCAGAUCUUAGACUUCUUGAUUUAACUGACAGUAAAGUUUCAUGGUGGCAAGUAACACAAUGUGUUAGCCUGCCCCAAUCCUCCACUGGAUUUGCCUGAUGGAUUUGAGUCCUCAAGAGUUGGUAUUUCUGUGUUCCCUGAAUUUCUGUGUUCCCUGAAUUGCUGAUACAAUUUUACAUUUUUUUCACCUAUAACUCUGCAUGAAUCAACUGAAAUGCUAUCCGGUGAACAAGACAAAAUAACCUAAUGGAUUUUAAUACUUCUAUUCUCUUUCUUGUUUGCCAGCAUGUCAGAAGUCUGAACCGUUCUAAAAUUACAAUUAUAAUGAAUUGAGUUGUUUCUUUGCACUAGCUCAGAAGUAUACAAUAGAUUGGUUAUUGACCUAGACACGAGCACACAAUAUUUUGAUCGAAGAAAAUAGUACUAUUUGUCAGCACAUAUUUAUUCUUUAAUCAAUGGUUAUCACUUUAAUUGGACCAAUGCUAGCUUACAACAACAAUAGGUGUAUACCCUGUCUUCAGUAGAGUGUAUAUCAUACUGUUAUAUGAUUUGCUCAAUUUAUUUUGUGCGAUAUUUUAGUGAUUGUUACCAUGUUUUUUAGCUUGAUGCUUGUAUUUAUAAUUUUUUAUGAUUAGUAAUUACAUGCUCACUACAAGAUCAUUAGCAUUCAUUAUAUUGGCAAAAUUAGCUACCCAGCCUAUCUCUACAACUAAAAAGACCCGAAGGUCAUCGUCUCCAGCGGUUAUCGCCCCCCCUCCCGUGGUUUCGCCCCCCCACUCCCGUGGUUUCGCCUCCGACCGUCCCCCCUCGGUCGCCCCCACCUCCCCCUCAAACGCGCUCCAUCAGCGUCGGUAAACGCAAUCCCCUUUGACGCCAAACGCAAUCCGCGAAGCCGCCGCCGAGCACGCCCGCCGCACUUCCCCUCGGACUCCCCGUAGCUGCCGCCGAGCACGCCCGCCGCCAGCCCUCUUCGCCAGACGUCCUCUCUCUCCAGGUUCUCCUCCACCCACUCCGAGCACGCCCGCCGCCACGCCCACCACCAGCCCCGUCCCCGUCCCUCCAAGCACGCCCGCGCGCGGCGCUCCUCUCACCCUCGCUCGUCCCCAAUCACGCGCCACCAAGCCGAGAAGGAGAAGGACCACACCUGGCGCCAUCGAGGUAGAGACGACGAGGAUCGUCGAGCUGCUGCCUCGGAGGGAGAGACAACGGCGAGAGGCCGUCACAACCCGCUGCCGAGGGAGAGGCGAGGUCCCAGCCCCGGUGGCUCCCGAGUUGACCGCCCCAUCAUUGGAGGCCGGAGACGGGCGUCCUAGACCGUUGUGGCCCCAGCGCCUGGUGAGUUUCCCUCUGGUUCUCCCCUCCAUUCUCUUCCUCUUAGCAAGAUCUUGUCAGGACACACCAUUGCCUAGGAAGCCUCCCUGUACAACAUUCCGAGUUCAGAGUUUAAGGAGUUCAGAGUUUAAGGUAAUUGACAUUCAGAGGUUCUGUGAUUUGUUUAUGUCGUUCUGCUGUUGAUUAAAAAAAACUAUCUAACGAUAAAAAAAAUUCACUACAAUUUCCCACCAAAAUCAUCAGCAGGGGUGAGUAUGAGGAUUGGGGAAAAAUUAUUUUCAUUGCUUAUUUUUUUCUACAAGUGACGAUAUUAACUUCUGGCUAUUUUUUCUUGAUGAAGUGGCGUUUAUUUUUUGCUAUCAGUGAUGAUAUUACUCUAUCCAUGUUUCACUUAGUUUAGGGGAUUACUAGCUUCACCAUAAUAAAAGGUGUUUUUCAAUCAUUCUAUAGAUUGUGAAUUCCGUUGUCUGAAACUCUGAGCCAAUGCUCUACCUGCUACAAAACACCUGUAUGGACCAUAUACAUGUGAUUUUCGAUCCAGUGCUGCUUUGCUAGAAUGAUUGCAUUGAUGUUUUUUACUGAGUGACCUACACAAAUUCUUUCAACUAAAAAGAAUUUGUUCAGCCUAUGAUAUUUUCUUUCUUGCAUUAUUAUAAAUAAAUGUGCAUCUUUGGUAGAGAAUGGAAAUCAUGUCAGCAGUGAUUGUGCUUCACCGUAAUAGAAGGGUUCUUUCAAUCCUUAUGUGGAUAGUUUUUUGGGUUUAUUUCAAGGUGCAAUUUCCUGGCAAUACGUAUGCACAGGUUUUGGCUCCUGGCAACUUUGCUUCUUUGAUGAGAAGCUCCUUCCCAUGUCUCUCUUCAUUUUCCUAUCUACACUUUCCAAUGUCUAGGCAUUAACUCAUACUUCUCACUCUUUUAGUAGAAUUGUGACUGGGCAUUACCUACAUGAGAGACUAGGCAGAAACUCUGAAACAUAGUGAAACUUUUAGUAGUCACUUGGUAAGUCAUGAUAAUUUUUUAUAGCUUGGCCCUGCAGUUGCAGACACUUCACUAUUCUCCUUAAGUAGCUUGGCAUAUAUUGAGAUUUGGAAGAUAUGAGAUAAUUGAUGCCUUGAAAUGUUCCAUGAUUUAGUUAUUUUUAUCUCUUCAAUUUAUUUAGGUGCUUAUUCAGUCUAUUUUAUAUCCAUGUUGGUAUAUAAUGGAUAGCCAAAUUUAAGAUUCCCUGUUGCAGACACUUUACUAUCCUGACUAGCUUGAAUCCCUCUUGAAUAGCACCAAUCUCGCCUAUUCAGGUAACUUGCUUGCUCACCUCCUAUUUGAUAAUAUACCAACGUGUGUUAUGUGCUUGUGUUUUAGGCAAAGGCAAAAAUCGGGUGACAUCAGUUUAGAUGUUAAUAAGAGCACGUAUAUGGUUAAAAUAAAUUAAGUGUAUCCUAAAGUUCCUAAACUUGUAGGAACAAUUGACGGACUUUCUGUUUUUUGAAUGACACAUCUAGGUUUUCAAAAUUCACUGCCUUAAGUCAAUUUCAAAUGUUUAGGGUUUAGGGUUUAGGGUUUUAGGGUUUAGGGUUUAGGGUUUAGGCCAUCAAACACAGUUCUCCGUCUCUACAUCCCCUUCCUCCAGUCCAGGUAUUUCACAGUGACAUUGCACGAUCUCUCUUGAUACUAUUAUUUUACAAAGAGUUGUGGUUGGAUGGAUAAUGGAAAAUACUGUGUACGCAAUUAUCAGUGUCCUGAUUUGUAUAUUUCUUUUUCCCUUCAUCCAAAUUGUUGCUUUGGCAUUAGAUUUUGAGAAUAAGUACCUGAAUGCUUAAGUAACUCUAGAGUGAUUGUUUGAUGGCAGAAUAUAACAUUUAGUUAGUCGUACCCAUUCUUAAUAAGUUGGGUGGCACUUCCCUGUAAAAAUUGUUAAUCAGCAACCAAACCUACCCAUUCUAAAUGCCAUAGACCAUAUUCAGAGAGAGAGAGAGAGAGAGUGAGGUGCACAGAUAACAAUAGUUAGUGCAUGCUUUUACAAUCCAAAGCUAAAAUAUACAUCUUUUUGCUUCCUUGCUGACAUGAAGCAAAAGUGUGAAUCUCUAACAAAUCUUCAAACAAGCAAGCAUAGAAACACAUUUAAAAAUUAUCAAUUCUGACCCAAGCAGGGGCGGGGGUGCCGAUGCAAGCGACGAACUCGAUCCCGCUCUCCUUCGGCUGGGGCGGGCCACCUAUGGAUGAUGGGCAUGUCCACUAAACCAUUGACUCUGCUUCAUGUCCUCCUCGCCGUCGACUGUGCUUUGGAAGUUUGGAUGGGGUGGGGGUGGCGUCUGCAUGGUAGUGGCAAGGAGGUGGCAGGCUGUCAGUGCUGGCAUAUCAGGGCGACCUCCUGGGGCAGCCCGGUGCAGCCGUGCAGGGGCAUGGCGGGACGACGUUACGGUGGGCUAGCAACCUCUAUUGGGUAGCGGCAGUGUCAGCGGUGGGUAGCGGCGGUGUCAGACGAUAACAUCCCAGUCUUUUUAGGUGUAGAGAUUUAAAGGUGCAAAUUAGUGGCAAUUUGUAUGCAUAGGUUUCAACUCCUGGCAACUUUGUUUAGUCAAAGAGAAUCACCGUUUCAUGUCUCUCUUCAAUUUUCCUGUCUACGCUCUUACUUCUCACUCUUUUAGUACAAUUCUGACUGGGCAUUACCUGCAUGAGUGACUAGGCAGAAACUCUGAAACAUAGUGAAACUUUCAGUAGUCGCAUGGUAGGUCAUGAUAUUUUUCUGCUAAUUAGUUCCUCACUAUUCUGUACUUUUGUUCAGAUAUUGGAUCGUGGUGGGAAGAUUGAACUUUUGGUGGGUAAGACAGAGACCUUACAGUCGCAGGUAUUUAUUCAGUGUCCGUUGUCUGUAUGAUGAUAUGAUGAUGUAUUGAAAUCCUGUUAUAGAAACAACAUUCAACUUUGUCUCAGAAAUUUAUACAAAUGUGGCUCUUUAGAAAUCCUGUUAUAAAAUCAGAAUUCAACUUAUAGCAAUGUCCAGUAUGGCAUAUAUGAAAUGAACUCAGUUCUCAGUUAUAUAAAAUUGCAAGUCGAGUGACUUUGUGACCUGCAGUUCUGUGUGCUUUGAUUGAUUUUCCAUGUGCUGAAAAAUCCCUGCAGUUCUAAGUGCUCUGAUUUGUAUAUUUCUUUUUCCCUUCAUCCAAAUUGCUGCUUUGGCUAGAUUUUGAGAAUAAGUAAUUUGGAUAAAAAUAGUACCUGAAUGCUUAAGUAACUCUAGAGUGAUUGUUUGAUGGCAGAAUAUAACAUUUAGUUAGUCGUACCUAUUCUUAAUAAGUUGGGUGGCACUUCCCUAAAAAAAUUGUUAAUCAGCAACUAAACCUACCCAUUCUGAAUGCCAUAGACCAUAUUCAUAGAGAGAGAGUGAGGUGCACAGAUAACAAUAGUUAGAGCAUGCUUUACAUCUUUUAGCAAAUCCUUGCAAGAUGAGUGACUUUGUGACCUGCAGUUCUGUGUGCUUUGAUUGAUUUCCAUGUGCUGAAAAAUCCCUGCAGUUCUAAGUGCUCUGAUUUGUAUAUUUCUUUUUCCCUUCAUCCAAAUUGUUGCUUUGGCAUUAGAUUUUGAAAAUAAGUAAUUUGGAUAAAAAUAGUACCUGAAUGCUUAAGUAACUCUAGAGUGAUUGUUUAAUGGCAAAAUAUAACUUGAAGCUCAUAUGGGUGUGGUCUGAUGGUCUCUAUGUUUUUUAAAGAACAGGUAGACUAUAGGGAUUGUGGGUUAUUUCAAUGGAAAAUAGGGGCUCUCCUGCACCAUUGGGUGACAAGACUAACUCUAUUAAUGAAGGUAACCAUAACCAAAAUAGAAGGGCAAUUAUUGUAUUUAAUUCAACAGACUGUUUAUAUUAUAGUAUAAAUGAUAACCUAUACUAUAUAUGGAUGUAAAUAUUGCAGGAAGUGAUGUUGUACAGCGUAGGCGAGAAAGAGAUAAGGCUCGAUGGCAUGCAAUGUCUCAAGAGAAAAAGGAUGAAAAAAAUAAAAACGUCGAGAAGCAUAUAAAAGAAAAAAGGAGCAACAACUGUGUAUUGAAACAGUCAAUGGUUGUAUAGUAGAAAUAUUGGUGAAUAAAAAUAUAGAUAUUACUAUUCAUGUUUCUCAUAUGUGCUAUGUCUCAAUUGGUAGAUGGACAGGAUGUAUCAAACAAGGAAAAUAUGGAUCCUAAUGAAACAAAUGACUGGUUACAUAGGAAUGAUUUACUCUAUGCAAACAAUAGAGGUGAUAUAUCUAAUCGGCUCGCAGGUAAUUUAACUGUUGUUAAUCUGACAUCAAUGGCUACAAUUAGAGGAUCAUUGAUGGAUAAUCUGUUGUAAUUACUGCUCAAUUUAUGUAGGUGAGGAGGAUGAAGUAAUUACUGCUCGUAGUAUACUUAAUCAAGAAAUGCUGUCACAAUUGACUGAUGCUUCACGUAAUAGAGAGUUAAUAAACGAGCAAGUAAUAGUCGAUCGUGUAAGAUCAAAAAUGACAUACGCAAACAUGACACCUGAGCAACGGGACCAAAGAGUAAGCGACAAAGGCUUUACAAUCAAGUUCAAUCCCGUAAAGAGGCAAUGAAAGCUGCUAAAAAACGAUCAAGGGAAGUAUGGAGACACACUUUGAAUAGUGAGUCCAUCGCAAUGGAGAAUCCACUCUUUAGUCCAACGGUGGAGUGGCCCAAUACAAACUCAUCUAUGUCAUCUCAUGGACCCACAGUAAGCCCUAGCGAUUGGGCUAUCCCAGAAUCCACUGCAACGCCUAUUUGCUUCCCACAAGCUCCUGAGGAGACAAAUGAAGAUGAUGAUGGAUGCACUGAUAUAUCACCUGGUCAUAUGACACAUAGACAAAAUAUACCAUCUGGGCAAAGGCAUGCAUUGUUAACCCGUCGUAACAAUGUGUUUGAGCGCCUCAUCGGUCGGAACACGGGAAAAUCUAAUAAAGGUGAAGACCACGCGGAAGAUAAUACGCCCUUACCCGAAGCAACCGUGACCAACAACGGUAAACAAUGAGGCCUUUGCAUCCACGUUCAUUCACAUAAAACAAACUUUAUUCCUAUCUUAACCAUGUCCAUUAUGUGAUUGACAGGAAACACUAGACUAGACAAUCAAAAUGUAUCAACUACAUCUGAACAACCAUUUUUUGAUGAUACAGGUAAUUUGCACUACUUUGAACAUUGUAUACAAUAUUUGUGUUUCUUGUUUGUUACCUAAGUAGUAAUGUCUCAUGACAUUGUGAUGAUCACAGAUGAUGAUGAGGGUGAUAUAUUUGAAGACGAUGAGGGAUACUUGUUUGCUGGUCAAGGUAUUUGUACCAAAUACCAAUUACCUUCCUAAACAUCCACUCUUUUUAUCUGACUUUCACUUUUAUGUUCAAAUCAUUUCGCCAGAGGAAUCAGAUGAUGAUGUCCAAAGUGAUACUACCGUGGAAGACAUGACUUCUAACCUUGAAGGACCUGACCCGUAUGAAGUGGUGUAUAGUAAUAUGCCUAGAGAGACACACAAGCUAAAAUCUAUCCCAAAUUGCCAUCAUUGUGGAGCAAAGAGGUUUCCAAAAGAACCUCCUGGGUUUUGUUGUCGCAGCGGAAAGGUUGAGCUGAAUGCGCCCGUCAUACCAAACCAACUCAUGAGGCUUUGGUCAAGCUCUGACCCGGAUGCUAGGCACUUUCGUAACAAUAUCAGGUUUUUCAAUGGCCACUUCUCUUUCACUUCCCUAUAUUGUCGCCUCGACUGUGCUACUGCUAAUAUUAGAAACAGCGGCAUAUAUACUUUUCGUGCACAUGGCAUGAUCUAUCACAACAUAAGGUCAUUUGGGAGAGAGGAUGGUAAGGAGCCUAGACAUCUUGAACUUUACUUCUAUGAUGACGAUCCGAGCCUUGAGUACCGGUACCGAAGGUGUCGUGAAGAGCAGUAUCAAAAAGAUAAAGAAGUUAUAGACAGACUGAUGGCCAUCCUUCAUGAUAACCCAUAUUCACAACAUUUGAGGAGUCUGGGGCACGCAGAACAUCUCGAGGACUAUCGUCUUACACUUAACCUUGAUCAGCGAUUGGACCAAAGGACAUACAAUGUGCCGAUGGCUUCAGAGGUGGCUGCUGUUUGGAUCGAAGGUAGUGAACUCCUUGGUCAAUUUCAGAAUAGUGUUGUCCUACAUGGGAAAGAUAGAAGCAGGUAUGGUAUCCGAUCAUACCAUGGAUGCUAUGAUGCUCUUUCAUACCCACUCUUCUUCCCUAGAGGUGAGCUUGGAUGGCAUAUGGAUAUCCCAAAGAAAGGUGUUACCAUGGAGGAUGUCAACACGGCUCGUGCCCUACGUAAGGCUCGUAGUGGUACUGAAGAAGAAGAAAUAGGUUUGUUUAUCUCCUUGUACUUUUCAUGCAUAUCAAACCUUUGUCACAUGAACACUUCUAAUAUCAUAGUUUUGACAGACUCUCCGGGAAAUUUAUGUGUUUCUGUGCGUGAUUACUACUGCUACAAGUUCCAGAUACGGCCAGGAAUAUUUAAUCCCAUACUUUAUGGCAAGCGUCUUUUCCAACAAUUUGCAGUGAACACGUACAUCAAAAUCGAGAGUUCUCGAUUGGAUUACAUACGCAAUCAUCAGACGGAGAUUAGGGCCGAUCUCUACCAAGAAUUGGUUGAUAGCCUGCAUGCUGGUGUGGGUAGAUCAGAAGCUGUUGGAAAGCGGACGGUGAUGCCUUCAUCAUUUAUCGGAGGCCCGAGGGACAUGAGGCGUAGAUACAUGGAUGCCAUGGCACUAAUGCGAAGGUUUGGGAAACCAGACAUCUUCCUGACUAUGACAUGCAAUCCAAAGUGGGAUGAGAUCACACGUGAGUUGUAUCCUGGACAAACACCACAAGAUCGUCCAAACCUUAUUGAUCGGGUCUUUAGGGCAAAACUGGAAGAGCUUAAGCAUAGGUUGUUGAAAAAGGAUAUCCUUGGAAAGGUUCGUGCACACGUGUAUGUUGUGGAGUUCCAAAAAAGGGGUCUACCGCAUGCCCACUUUUUGCUAAUCAUGGACAGACGCUACAAGAUCACGUGCCCAGAGCAGUAUGACCUUCUCAUCUCUGCCGAGCUCCCAAACAAGAAGAAGUAUCCAGACUUGUAUAAAAUGGUUACAAAGCAUAUGAUGCAUGGACCUUGUGGCGUACUUAAUCGCAAUUGCCCGUGCACAAAGGGUCGUGAAUCAUGCAAGAACCGUUACCCACGACCUUUCUGUGAUGCCACAUUACAGGGCAAAGAUUCAUAUCCAGUUUAUAGACGUCGUGACAAUGGUAGAAAAGAAAAAGUUCGCGGGCAUGAGCUUGACAAUAGAUGGGUCGUGCCUUACAACCCAUACCUCCUACGUUUGUUCAAUUGCCAUAUCAAUGUUGAGGCGUGUGGGAGCAUCAAGGCCGUGAAGUAUUUGUUCAAGUACAUUUACAAGGGUCAUGAUCGCGCGUCUGUGGCUGUGAGAGAGGCUGAAAAGGAGGACAAUGAAGGAAACAUCGAUGAGAUCAAACAGUACAGGGAUGCUAGAUGGGUAACUCCACCAGAAGCCUUGUGGAGGAUAUAUGGUUUUGAUAUAAGUGAUAGGUCCCCUUCAGUGUUGUCCUUGCAGCUCCAUCUUCCUAACAUGCACAUGGUGUCAUUUCACCAGCGCGAGGGUGUUCGACGUGUACUUAAUCGUCCAGGUGUUGAAAGGUCGAUGCUUACAGCCUACUUUGAGAAGAAUAUCACAUCUGAACAUGCUCGUGGUAUAUUGUAUCGGGAUUUUCCUGAGUACUAUAAGUGGGACUCUCAAGGAAAACAAUGGAUUAGGAGGGCACGAAAGAAUCAUUUAAGACAAAUUGGAAGAGUUGUAUGUGCCAAUCCAGCUGAAGGGGAGCGUUACUAUCUUAGGGUGCUUCUGAACCAUGUGGUUGGUGCUACCUCAUUCAUUGAUCUAAGGACAGUGUCUGGUGAACUACUACCGACUUUCUGUGAAGCUGCAGAAAGAAGGGGCCUCAUCGAAGCGGACAACACACUUCACGAGGGUCUUGCUGAGGCAACUCUAUGGAUGAUGCCAUAUGCACUAAGAAGGCUCUUUGCAACAAUCUUAGUUUUCUGUGAGCCGAGUGAUGUAUUAGAACUCUAGGAAAAGCAUAAGGAAGCAAUGUCAGAGGACUACAAGCGCAAUAACCAAUCCAACUUUGCAGUGGAGCAGAUGGUCCUCAUAGAUAUUCGGAAGUUGUUAGAAUCAAUGCAGAAGGACAUAAAGAUGUACCCACUUCCUGAUAUCGAUGACACAUAUGAUCCAUCUGGCAAUAUUCCCAGGGAGAUCUUUGAGGAGGCUAGCGUUGAGGCAAGUAUUGAUGACAUGGCACUAUCAAAGACACUUAACGAGGAGCAGCAAGCUACCUACAAUGAGAUUAUGUCUGCUAUUGAUAGUAAUCAUGGGGGUUUGUUCUUUGUGGAUGGACCUGGUGGCACCGGGAAGACUUAUCUAUACAGGGCCCUACUUGCUACUAUUCGCAGUCAGAAUAAGAUUGCUGUGGCAACAACAACAUCUAGUGUUGCUACAUCAAUAAUGCCUGGUGGUAGAACCGCCCACUCGCACUUCAAGAUUCCCCUCACCCUUGAUGAUGGGGCCUUUUGCACCUUCACAAAACAUAGUGGUACCGCCAAGCUCCUUCAGAACACAUCCCUUAUUAUUUGGGAUGAGGUGACGAUGAUGAAGAGGCAUGGUGUUGAGGCGCUAGAUAACAGCCUCCGUGAUGUCAUGGAACGUCCUAACCUGCCAUUUGGGGGGAAGACUGUAGUGUUUGGUGGAGAUUUUAGGCAGGUUCUCCCAGUUGUUCGAAGAGGUUCUAGGGCACAGAUAGUUGGUGCCUCAUUACGUAUGUCGUACAUUUGGAAUUCCAUGCGACAUCUCAAAUUGGUGCGAAACAUGAGGGUAAAGAGCGAUCCAUGUUUUGCAGAAUACUUGCUACGCAUCGGGGGAGGAUCUGAGGAGACUAAUUGUAAUGGUGAAGUCCACCUUCCUGAUGAUAUAUGCAUUCCACAGACUGAGAAAGACAGUGACCUUGAUACGUUAAUUGACUGCAUAUUUCCUGCCCUCAAUGCCAAUAUGUCAAACAAGAGCUACAUCACCUCACGAGCAAUAUUAUCUUCGCGAAACGACUAGGUUGAUAUGAUUAACAUGAAGAUGAUAAGUCGUUUGCAAGGGAAUGAGAUGGUGUACCAUAGCUUUGACAGUGCAGUGGAUGAUCCACACAACUACUACCCAUCUGAGUUCCUCAACACUUUGACCCCCAAUGGUCUCCCUCCACAUGUGUUAAAGCUCAAGAUUGGGUGCCCGGUCAUAUUGCUAAGGAACAUCGACCCUGCGGGUGGACUUUGCAAUGGAACUAGGCUGGUGGUUCGAGGGUUCCAAAGAAACAUUGUCGAUGCAGAAAUUAUGGUUGGAGACCAUGCCGGAAAGCGAAUCUUCCUACCAUGGAUUCCGUUAUGUCCCUCGGAUGAUGAGAUGUUCCCAUUUCAGUUUAAGAGAAAGCAGUUUCCUAUUAGACUCAGUUUUGCCAUGACGAUUAACAAAGCACAAGGGCAGACUCUCCCCAAUGUUGGUGUGUAUUUGCCUGAACCAGUGUUCUCUCAUGGUCAGUUGUAUGUUGCGCUAUCUAGAUCCACUGCCAGAUCGAAUAUUAGGAUCCUUGCUGUCCCACCCAGUGAUAAGAAUGAUAAGAAACAAAAAAAUAAUGGUACAUUCACAAAAAAUAUUGUCUACAAAGAGGUCCUCACUCCAUGAUAAGGUAGUUUUCUAUUUUGCACAACUAUUGUAUUCUUAUAUUUGUGUCCUUAAUUAGUGACAUUUUUUGUAUCAUUAUAAAUUUCAGUUAAUAAAGGAAGUCCGAAAGAAAUGAGAGAUAAGUAGUUAUGAGUUCUUGAUAUGUUACUGACUAUAUAUAGAAAAUAUAUAUAUUUCAAACCAGAACUAUGACAUACUCCCGUCGCCACCAAAAUGUGUCAUUUUAUUUUUAGACAUCUUGUUUGACUCUUUCUCUUAUUCAAAAAUUUUAUAUAAAUAUUAUUUAUUUUGCUAUGACUUAUUUUAUGAUUAGAUACACUUUAAUAAUAACUUAUUUAUUUAUUUAUUUAUUUAUUUAUUUAUUAUGUGCACAAAGAAAACUAAAUAAGAUAAUAGUCAAAUAUAAUAUCUGAAAGUCAAAAGUGUCACCUAUUUUAGAAGGGAGAUGUAUGCGUUGUUAAAUUGAAAGAUAAGAUGAGACACUUUUCUAUGCACUUUUUUAGUAGUACAAAAUGUUUAAAAUUGAGUUAUCAUGAUAUAUAUUUUUUCCGUAGCAACGCACGGGCACUCAACUAGUAACUCUAUAACUCUGUACAUCAUCUAUACCAUUUCAGUGGCCUUGUCACCACUGAUUUUGGACUUGCCGAAAAGCUAAUUUUCUAGAUAGCUUGUAAGAUGUUUCUUUUCAAGUUUGGAUAAGAUUAAACUUUGUUUAGUGGUCUUGCCGAGUUUUGAAGCAGGAACACAAAGAUGCGGUAAAGACUUCCUGUUGUCGUCAAGCAACUCCUCUGCACAGCCGCCGUUGAGGAGUUUAGGAGUAUAAAUUGAUGUUAACUUCACGUUAUUUAGAGAUUCUACGAGUUUUUGUUUUGGACCAAGUUUAGGACAAACUCUUUUGAAGUUCAUUAUGGUUCUUACCCCAAAAUGAUCUCUGUGAUUGUACAAUGACCCUUUAUAGUGCUGCCUAAUGUAAGAGUUUUCAAAUAUACCCGAUGACAUUGAUGAUUUAAUUUUCUUUUAUUGUGCAAGAAUAUUAGGACCCAUUUGGAUCCUUGGAAUCAAAUUCAUUAUAAUAAUUACAAUUUAGUCAUGUAUUAAUUAAGCUAAUAUGGUUGCAUAUGAAAUAUAUUUGCAUAUUAUUGUUAGCCAUACAAGGGUCAUACUUGUUAUAUUGCAUUUCUGUUGCAGAAAAAUGAGUUAAAGAGGAGUGUGCUAUAAGUUGAAGGGUAUAAAUAUAGUUGCUGAUAUAUAGAAUCUAUUUCCAUCUCCACCCUAUGAAUUUGAGAUAGAUUUAUUUGUGAGCCUGAAAAAAUUGUAGAAUGUCAAAUUUUAGGCAAAAUAGCCUGACCCAUUAAUUGGAUUCUAAUUCCUCUAAAAUAAAGGGAUCUAAAUGGUCCCUUACUAUGUUACAUGCAAUUUUCUUAAUUUUAUUUUUUAUGAAAAAAGAAAAUUAUUUUUAUAAAUUUAACUAAAUACUUUAGUAUCUAAUUUAAUCCGGUCAAGAUAGGGCGCCCAAUGUUCUAGUAGUUAUUUAGUACCAGAGGCCUUCCCACGACCGCAGACGACGCGCGCUCGCCCACCUAGUCGCAACGCUCGUUAGUUUUUUUUUUGUUUCUGUUGCCUACUCGCGCCUAUGUGUUUCCGGCCGAUUUUUUCUCCUUCAGUACGCAUUGCUUGGUCAUCUUUUCUAGGCCAAGGUUGCAUAUAUUUUGCCCUUUUUUAUUUCUACAUAUUUUUUUCUUUCUACACCAAGUUUCUUGUGAUGAAUUACUUGUAAAUAAUAGUUUAUUAUGUAUACUAUAGAUAUUAUUUUAGUUAGAUCAUUAAAAAUAUAUCUUGCAUGACAAUCGUUACACAAAUAAAUUUAUAGUUAUUAUCAAAUAGAAGGGAGAAUUGGCGGUAGGACAUGCAGAAUGGUGACCAUUUGCCAGCGGACACUAGGAAAAAAUAGAUUGCUCAAAGACACUCUGUUUCUUAUCAAAUUUGCGGGCAGACAUUACGUCUAAUCAAAUAUUAUUAUAAAAUAGAUAUAAAAUCAUAUAAGUGCUAAAAAAUUAUACUAUAAAUUUUUUACACUCUACAUGAUGAGAACUGUAGUGCAAAAAUAUUGUUUUGCACUGAAAUGACCAUUUUGCCCCUCUUCAUAAAUAGACAAAGAUAACCAUGGUUAAUUAGUUAAAAAUAUUAGUAAGAUACUAAAAAUACUAAAUAAUAUUUUUACACUAUAGUUCUCAUCAUGUAGAGUGUAAAAAAAUUAUACUAUAAUUUUCUAGCACUUAUAUGAUUUUAUAUCUAUUUUGUAAUAAUGUUUGAUUAAACAUAGUGUCCACCAGCAAAUUUGACAAGAAGCGAAGUGUCCUUGAGCAUAAAUACUUGUGCAACAUAUACUAUAGAAAAUUAUUGUGGUUGAAACAUUAAAUUUGGUGUAGAAUUUUUUUAUUUUGAACAAUAUUUUGUUUGAACAAUGAGAUGCUGUGGUUGAAACUCAUCACUACCAAAAAUAUUAGUGUCCCAAAAAUAGGUUUAUAUGGUUUCACUUGUAAAAAGGCCUCUGGUUCUAAAAUAGGCUCAUGGUGCUGACCGAGACAGCAACUAUUUAAUCCACUUAGACUGCAUAUGCCAUAUUUUUCGUUGUUAAUAAUAAAGACAAAAUUAACAGAAAUAUACAUAUUGGAUUUACAGGGUUUGAUCUAUCAAACUAGUUUGAGUGCUGGUACCUGUUUGUGUUUUGCAAGACUACUAAUUGUUUAGCGCAGCUUGGAGACUCCAGCUGAUUACUGCAAGAUCAAAAUAUGGAUUGUAUUCAGUCAACAAAGAUUUUGCUAAUUGCAAUAAAAUAGCUGAUCUUACACUGAAUUGAAAAUAGUGACAUAAAAAUCAAGAACAUGACAGAGAGAAUGCUUAAACUUACCUGGACAAGAAAAAAGUUAUUCACAAUAUAGUAGCUGACAAAAAAAAAUAAUACAGAACAUCUUGACUGCACAGAUAAGCUCCUAAUGUCUUCAGAAUUUACUUUUUGGUUCAAAGAAUUAUGUAUUUAAACUAUAUAUCUUUGUAUAAAAUCUGUAUGUGACAAUUUAGUAUGAUUUCCUCACAUAUAUAGUGCAACAACAAAAAAUCGCUUGCAAAAAGAGAGAGCAGCAGGGUGGGAGGGGGAGAUCGAGCUAGCAGACCUAGUAAGAAAGCCAAAAAACGUAGUGUCGUUGCUGCCGCGGAUGACGCUGACCGCCAGUGUGACCGUCUCCAAACUAGUCUCGGCAUGAGGAAGAUGAUGCGUGGUAGCUGGUCGCCCACGACCGAUGCCAGCAGCCACGACACGCGCUACGGCGGGCGGCGGCGCGAUUCCCUGAUGCGGCGCUGGAGGGGUGGGGAGUGGCGUCGAUGGGAUGGGGGCGGCGCCGACGGGGUGAGAGGCAACGGUCGAAGGCUGCUGAGGCAUCGGGGGCCGCAGAACCCACCUCGGAGGCUGCGAAGGAGAUGGAGAGAGGGGCGAGCUAGGCUCGUGCUGUGGACGUACGUGGUGGCGAUCUGGGCUCAUACGGCGCCGCGGAGGGAGCGACGGGCGAAACCGGCGGAGGGAGCGACGUCGGACGGUCGGAGAAACCGGCGUCUCCUCGACUCCCCACAUCUGGAAUUUAGAUCGGCAGAAAAAAAUACUAGAUACGAUAAAAGGCCUAGGUGGGCUGAAACGUCCAUGGUUGGCUCGGGUCCUGAAGUUGGGCUCGGGUACUGUUUAUUAUUCAGUACCCUAGGAUAUAUAUAUAUAUAUAUAUAUAUAUAUAUAUAUAUAUAUAUAUAUAUAUAUAUAUAUUUUUGACCACAUCUAAUUAUCGGGCUAUAAGCUAUGGUGAAGGAGGCCCACGAGGGCUGAUUGAACCAACCAAGUUGAAGAUCAAGCCACGCUAAGGAUAUCUAGAGCCGACGUAUCUGGACGAUAGAAUAUGAUCAAUCUGUUCUAUAUUUUAUAUAACAAACUAAAAAACCAAUAUGUCAAGCGAUCAUCCUCGUUGUACGUAACCCUACCCCGUCUCACUAUAUAAAGGAGGGUAUGGACCCCACAAUCAGGAUCCAUCUCAUCUACCAUGUAGAUUAGAGCAACAACCACUGUAACCGAGCAUACAAAUACAAGAAGAGCAGUAGCACCAAAUGGACUAGGGUUUUACGUAACACCGUGGCCUGAACCAGUAUAAAUCUUGUGUCUCAUGUACUACCAUCUGAUUUCUCCUAUGCGAACUCAUUGCUAGACACUGCCGGAGCUAAGUCACCCGACAAGAACAUGUUACAUAUUAUAUUUUUUCAUGUUUUUAUGUUCCCUCGGGUUAGGGUGAGGAGGUAAGCCGAUGAAGUGUGAACGUAAGGUACUCCAUGCUUUUUAGAGAAGAGAUAACCUUCACCUCUUAUUGCGUAUCAUUAUGCGGUUGUGGGUUGCAUAUCUUCUAGAACCCUUUGUAUCAUCAUGUUUAUGAAGAUGUAUAUCCUUUAUCUUGGGUUUUUUGAUGGGCGCCAUUGUAAUUUUUCAACUUAUGACAUACAUCACUACAAUUUGUCUAUUAGGAACCAAGCCAUUAUAAUUCUCUGGUUGCUGAAAUAUGCCAUUUUAUAUGCUUUUUGAGAACCUAGACCCACCUGCAAUCAAUGGUAUUCUUGUAUUGCCUAAAACACACCUUUACCUUUCUCAAUUUAUAUGUGACUAACAUUUGGGUCUCACACAUCAUCUUCUUCCUCCAAGUGCAGUACAUCUCGCCGCAUAAGCACCUCUCUUCCCCGUCGCCCUCCCCCAUCGUCGCCAUGCUCUUUGUGCCGGUCAUUGACUUCUAGUCCUCCACCGCGUAAUGCCAUCCUCACCACAUGUGAGGGCUGGUGCGGAGCUCCUCACUACAUGCACAAGCAUGAGCGCCUGCAGUGGGUGGCCGACCUCACGAGUAGGAGUAGUGACGUCGGUAGUGAGGCUCGAGGUUGGGUGGACUAGAUUCCCAAAAGCGACUGACGCAUGAGGAAGGCGAGCUGCGGCCAUGGCAUCGAGGUGGUAUGCUGAGCUCGCAAGCACAAGCGCAAGUGACUGUAGUGCAUGGCCUAGCUCACGAGUAGGAGAGGCAACACUAGUGGUGAGGCAUGAGUGGCUUAUGGGACUGACUGGUAACACGGUGGUGCGUGACGUCAACGGCCGGAAUCGUGGGGUCACGCUGCGAUGGUGCGAGCUUGUGGCCAAGGGACUUUGGCGUGGCUGGCACGAGCAUGAGCACCAUCGGGCUCUGAUGCAGGCAUAGGAUCGUCUACAACGCGGGCAUGGAGCCCAUGUGACUUCAGCUACAUGCCGAUAGGAGCCAACAAGGGGAAGAGAGGAGGAAGAAGAUGAUAGUGGAGCCCACACGUUAGUGAUUUAGUGAUGUUGGAGAAAGAGAGGGACAGGGGCAUUUUAGGCAAUAUCAAAAUAUAUUAGUCUACAGGUGGGUCCACGGUCUUGAAAAGCAUACAAAAUGGUAUAUUUCAGGCAACAAAAGAAUUAUAAUGGUAUGCUUUCAAAUAGAUGAAUUGUAGUGGUAUAUCUGAGAAGUUGAAAAAUUGUAAUGGCACCCAUCCAAAAAGCCCACUAUCCUUAUGAGGUUCUAGGAUGUAACACCAUAGUAUACCUGUCAUCUUAAAUAAGUGAUUUUUUUGGUAUUCUAGACUUUUGACUUAUAAUCUAUCAUUAUUAGUUCAAAAUGAUUUUUUUGAAGAAUAUAUUGCAUGCUAUGCUCAUUUUUCCCCAUGUUUUUAUAUUCUCCUCUAGUCUCGAUGAGGAGGCACGCGAACGAAGUCUAAACAUAAGUGCUCCACACUUUUUAGAGUAGAGAUGACCAUCUUCUCUUAUUGCAUAUCACUGUGCCGUUCUAGCUAUGUUGCAUAUCUUUUAAAACCCUUAUAUGGUCGUCUUUUAUGAAGAUGUAUAUCUUUCUGAUACAUAAUAUCUUUCUAAAGUUCUAGGAUGUGGCACCCUAGUAUAGUUGUCUUCUUAGAAACGUGUAUCUUUUUGGUACUGUAGACUUUUUUUGUACUCUAGAUUUUUGACUCAUGAUUUGGUGUUUUUAGAUAAAAAGUAGUUUUUCUGGAAGAUAACAUAUUUCUGAUCACCCUACGCUCCUAAUCUUGACCCAAAUCCAAUGGCUUGGGAAGGCCUGACUAGCAAUGGCCAUUGGCUCAAGGUGUGGAUUAGGUGGGGGUGGGUGGGAAGGCCAACGACAUGUGAAGAACAUAAGGCAAACUCAAAACAAAAAUAAAAAUAGAAAAUUAAUUGAAAGGAGGAUGACAAUUGUAGCCUAUUGAUAAGGGUGUAAAUGGUACAAAUAUUUCUCGAUCAAUACAAGGGCUUCAAUAUCCGUUUGGACCAUACCAUAUUUGUAUCUCGAUAUCCAUUCAUAUCUUAUCUGAACUAUUCCUAGUAGAAUCUGAAUCCAAGGAAUAAUGUAGCUAUACGUAUUCAUAUACGUAGGUAUCUAUCCCUAUCUAGCCCAUUUACACCCCUACCUGUUGAUAACGGUUGCUACAACAUAAAAAAUGCAUCAACAUCCCACCGCUCUUAUUUUGCCUCCAACCAAACAAAAAACUAUAAUGGAAUUAUUCCCUCAACUAAACACAGAAUGUGAUGGUUUGAUCCUAAAAUCAGGGACAGAUCCACCCCAUUCCACCACAUACUAACCAAACAUAUGCUUAAUAUGCAAUAGCAUAAAGGCCUAAAAUAUGGUUUAAAUUUUUUACUUAUGAAAAUGAGUACAUAUACACCUUAAUAUCAAGACGAGUGCAAAUUUUGAUCAAAGUAAUUCUAACAAGGUGCUAGACCAUUCAAAGGAUUCUAGCAAGACUCCUUGUAAUUUUGCUUAGUGUGGGUUUUAUUUAUGAAAAUCUAGCAAAUUGCUUGAUACAUGACUUGCUUUAGCUCCUUUGCAUGUAGCGACUGAUGAAUACAUGCAUCAAGGCUCCUAGUUUGGGUUAUGAUGAUUGAUGAACAUGGGGAUAUGUGGCCAAUGGCAGAACUAGAACUUUUUAUUAAAGGGGACUGAACAAUAUGCACCUUGUAAAUAUGAUAAAUAUAUAUACGAUAAGUGUAUGUAUUAAUAGUUUUUUAAUAUUUUUACAUAUAUAUUUAGUAUUCAUAACAAAGAAACACAAUAUUAUCGUUAAAAAUGGGUGAGAUAAUAAUUUUUUAUGCUAUGCAAUUGAUUUUUUAUAAGGUAUCAAAAAAUUUCAUUGUGUUUGGGGGGCAUGAUCCCUGCUUUCCCCUGAUUCCACCAGUGUAUGUGGCUAAAUUUAUUUUGAAGGGUUAUUGAAAAAGAGUUAGUUAUGUUGAGGCUACUUGUUUUUCUUGGUCCUUGAUGAUUGGAUUAAGUGUAUAGCCCAAGGAUAUUCGUGAAGGCUAAGGGCACAAUAGUGUUUAAGUGAUGAUUUGGUGUUGGGGGCACCUAGAAUUUUGUACUACUAUCCCCAACACCAAAUCAACACCCUCAAAACAAAUAGAGUUUAAGUCAAGGAUUUCGAACAAGUUGAAUGAGAUAGGGAUUUCAAAUGGAGCCAACUUUGAAGGUUGUAGUGCACUAGAUGAGUUGGUCAAGGCCAUCAAAUUGUAUGGUGACAUUAUGUUGUACUAUGUAUUAGGUAGUGUUGCCUGCUAGACAAUACUAUGAAGGGUCUUGUGUGGACCAGAUGAUCUAGUGUCAUCUUUGUGUCAUGCAUGAAGAGUUCAUCUUGGAUGUGCUUGUUAGAGUGUGUAUUGUGCAACAACUAGUUGAAGUCGGACAUGCUUACUGAUGUGCACUGUAUGAUCUGUUGCUUAGCUUAGUGGUUGUAGCGUAUCAUCCAAUGAUGUAUAUUAGGUAAUCUCGAGUAGUGACCACUAAAAAUACAAGAAAAGCAAGGUCACCAGAUGAUCCGGUGCCCCUCAAUGGGCCACUGCGAAUCAUCCUGUGUUGACUUUCUCAACAAACUUUUCUAGUGGCUAGGAUAUCACCUAUGUCAUCUAUAUAUGUGUUCUCUGAAUCAUUUGGAUCUCCCUUUGAAUCUAUUGAAGAUUUACACAUUAGAGGCUUGGAGAAGGGGUUGAGGGCACUCCAAGUCAACAUGAGUGCUUAAGAAUGAUCAUAGUGCACAUCUUUUUGCUCUUGGCUUGGAGGUUGAUGAACUAAAGAUCAAAAGUUGUUGCUCUUGGAGUUUUCUAGCUCUUAAACAUCAUGUACGAGGACUAAGUGACUUUCCUAGAUGAGUUGAUUAUUAGAAGUCUCCUAGAGGUGUGCUUGGUUUAAGACUCGCUAAUCUGAAGUGGUGAAUAGGUGGAUCUUUAGCCUUUGUGACUAAACCGAGCUCAGCCCUUAGUGGGUGCUCUAACAUGGACUAGGGGGCAGUAGCAAUUGCUCAACUCCACGAAAAUACGGUUGUCAGUUGUCCAACUUUUUCUUUCCACAAGCAUUAUUUCAUUGCUUAUCUUUUUGUGUGUCUUAGAGAUUGUGUGGACCUUAUGCUUGAUUUGAUUUUGUCUUAGUGUGAUGCCCUAGUUCUUUUCAACAUCUUAUGAACUAUUGCUAGUGUGUUCUUGCUAAGGACCUAGCUUAGUUUGAUGGCCCUAAGGACUUACAUUAGUUUUUUUCUCUUUUGUAGUUGUGUCAAAGCUAGUUCUUACCAAGGAAUUAAAUUUUUUUAGUAGUUUAAGAUUAGUUAUUUUAAUGUUUAGAGACUCAAUUCGACCAUCUUAAGGCUUUUUUAUUCUUAUAAGUAGACUGUUAGAUAGCUUGCCACAUCAUUCGGUAAGUGUUGGGAUGAGCUAUUUAUACCACAUCAUCUCCUCCACUCAUAAAGGCUCAACUACCAUGGUACAAGGAUUAUACUAUACUAUGCUUUUCUUCCACAUCUCCAACCCGUUGAGCUAAUUUUUCCACAUCUCCACGUCCUUCUAUCCUUGAGAGCCGUCAGUUCAUAUUUUGGAGCUUAAAGCUCCUAUAUGGUUAGGUGUAACCCUUUAAAUCACCUCUUUGUGUGGUGCUCUAAAAAGUUUGUAUCGCUCCAUAUUUUUGAAUAUGUACCCCAAGCUCGAUCUUUGUGGUAGUUUAGUGAGUAUAGUGUUGAGAGAAAGACCUGACUUUUUGUGAGUUCUCAACAUAGAUGUAGCUUCCUUUGUGGUAGUGAAAUUUGAUAAACAAAACCUAUGUUACUUGGGGUCUAUUUGCGUUUGAACUUGUGCUGAUUGACUCUUGGGAUUUCACACCAUGUUGUGAAAUUCUUGGUGUUAGUGAUACCGUGGAAGGUCAAUUAAUAUCUUAACCUUUGGUUCAAGUGGAAUUGAGGAAUGUCAUCAAUCUAUCUAAUCUACUUCAAACCAUGCAAAAUCCCUAUUACCAUUGAAUCAUCAAGGACCUUGCGAGAUAUUAGGUGCCUUCUAGUGCAUGAGCAGAUGGUAAGGUGCUAGACCAUGGUAAGUUGCCAGACUUUUUUGUAUUUAAUUCCACUACAAACUUAAACUUUUCAUGAAACUACUACAUACUCAAAUCAAAAGUCCUUUUAAUAUGAUAAGUUUCUUUCCUUUGUAAUAUUAGCCCUGAUAUAGUAAAGCAAGCAGGUGAGCGGUUAUGACGGAUGCUGCCUCCUUGCACAACACCUAUACACCCUUGUCGCUUUUUAAUUUAAAGGAAAAAGUCCAAUAUACUCCCGCUGACAGAACAUAGUCUGGAUAAACCCAAAAAAAAACCAAUUUUGUCUUUGAUUUACUCCUCCAAAUCUUUUAGUUGGUCCAUUCUAUAUUUCUAUCCCACUAUAAGAUUUGUUUUUUGGUUCUCCACAUAUAAGUUGAGUUUUUAAAUUCAGUUUUUUUGUAGGGAUAUAAAGAACUUCAUAAAUGUAUUAUACAUUAUGAUUUUUUUUAUCUUAGGCAUCUAAUAAUAAAUUAACACUACAAAUACAAGAUUAUACAAAAAUCAUAAUAUAUUUUUCUAACAUAAUUUAGGACAUGUUCGGAUCAAUGUAUAAAAUCUGAACCUAAAACUCAACUUGCACUGCAGAAAACAGAAGACAAACCUUAUUAAUGGAUAGAUCGACCAACCGAAAGACUGGACUUUUUCCUAAUUUCCAAAUCACUCUACAUGCACAAUCAUAGUGUAUAGCAUCCGUGACCGCAACUUUGAAUUUCUGAAAUGCAGUGUAUGUUUAUCAAAAAAGAAGAAGAAGAAGAAGAAGAAGAAGAAGAAGAAGAAGAAGAAGAAGAAGAAGAAGAAGAAGAAGAAGAAGAAGAAGAAGAAGAAGAAGAAGAAGCAUACAAUAUCUAAUGUCAGGAGGUCGAAUAAGAAUGCGAAAGAACAUAUAGGUGCUUAACACAGGAACCUCAACCCAUCAAACCCAAAACCGUCCCUUCAAAUUUGAGAGGGGCUGGUUGAUACGUGAUGGUUUUUUUGACAUGGUUGCAAUUAUUUGGCAAACACCAUGUCCUGAGUUCACCCCGCUUGAACGAUGGCAGUCUAAGAUCCGCAGGCUCAGACAAUAUCUAAGAGGCUGGGCUAAACACACUGCCGGAACAUAAAGAAAGGAGAAAAAAACCCUGCUAUCCCAUUUAGAGGUGCUAGAAAAGAAAGCGGAGGUCACUCACCUUUCUGAUCAAGAGAUUAAUCUUAAACACUAUCUAAAAGAGAGACUAGUUACCCUUCUGCGAGAAGAGGAACUGAAAUGGUAUGAGCGAGCCAAAGUCAAAACCUUAUUGGAAGAGGAACUGAAAUGGUAUGAGCGAGCCAAAGUCAAAACCUUAUUGGAGGGAGAUGCUAACACUUGCUUCUUCCAUCUAGUGGCCAAUGGGAAACAUCGUAAGCAACACAUCUAUAAACUUGAAGAUGAUCAAGGCACGGUUGUUGGCGAUGAGCGCCUCAAAGGCCAUAUUACUACGUAUUAUAAAAAUCUCUUCGGGUCACCGGAACACUCCGACAUCACUCUUAUGGAAGAUCAAUAUUUAGAUAUUCCACAAGUAUCUCCGGAAGAAAACGAUAUCCUUAUUAGCCCUUUCACUGAAUCCGAGGUGAGGGACGCGGUAUUCCAAAUGGAGCAUAAUAAAGCUCCAGGCCCGGACGGAUUCCCUGCGGAAUUCUAUCAGGCGUUUUGGGGAGUUAUCAAGGACGACCUCCUACACCUCUUUGCUGAUCUCCAUCGCGAGGCUCUUGAUCUUCAUAGCUUGAAUUUUGGAAUAAUUACUUUAAUUUCAAAAAUUCAAAACGCUACUAAAAUUCAGCAAUAUAGACCAAUUUGUGUCCUCAAUGUGAGCUUUAAAAUAUUCACAAAAGUAGGCACAAACAGGCUGAAUAUGGUCGCAAAAACUAUAGUGAGCCCAACACAGACUGCCUUUAUGCCGGACAGGAAUAUCAUGGAAGGAGUAGUGAUAUUGCACGAAACUAUUCAUGAGUUACAUACUAAAAAACAAGACAGGAUCAUCUUCAAAAUUGAUUUCGAAAAGGCAUAUGAUAAGGUCAAGUGGUCUUUCUUACAACAAACCUUACGUAUGAAAGGCUUCUCCCCUAAAUGGUGUAGGUGGGUAGAGAGUAUGGUCACUGGUGGAAGUGUGGGGAUCAAAGUCAAUGAUGGUGUUGGCCCCUACUUUCAGUCCA
rnacentral:lncRNA from 1 species